rnacentral:lncRNA from 1 species
ACCAAUCCAUUCCCCGGUAGCAGCAGUGAUGGAGUGGAAGGGUGUUAGUGCUGGAAUUGCCCUUCCCUCGGCAGUUAAGCGCGCUCAAGCUCGUUACCGAAAUUCCGGGCCGCUGUGCGCGUUGCCACGUACCUAUACCUAUAUGAACUUCGUACGUCCUUGGCAGAACAAGAUCGGAGGAACUUUCGAGGUGUCCUGAAAUGGACCUCUUUAAAUCCCUAUUUUGUUCUAGGGAUGGGGCUUAUGAUUGUAGAGAACGGGACCGUUAACUAGAUAGGUUGUUGAGGGGAGCGUCGAAGCACACCAACAAAUGUCUCUGGGACCAGUAGCUUCAGUCGAAUAUCCAUACCCCACGGGAGUCGUUCUAGUAAAAGAUCUAGUCCGUCCAGAGCCAUCUAAGCACUAAUAGUUUACCCGGAAGAAGUGGAUCCGACCCUGCUUCAAAACGGAAGGGCGCUAGCGCACUACAAAGCUUCUCGCUUCGGUUCAGGAGCCCAUGGGCAUUGUCUUUUGAUUCAGUGCAGUGGCAAGGGACACAAGAUCCAGACCUACAGGUCGGCAACAAGGAGAAUGAUUAGAUCUAGAAGACUGAGAUCAAUCUUUAUCUAGUUGAGGGCUAAGCCCGAGAGCUAUCUUUCCAGCCGGUUCAACAUAACCAGUUACAGUCUCGAGAGUGAGACCUCUGGCUGAGUCUUUUUCAUCCAUGUAGGUGACUUGGCGGGGGGAAGGUUCAAUCAGACUCAUAUCGGGCUGGUGUUCCGCUCUUUAGCUAGGCAUAUUUCACAUUGCUUAUACAAUCGAUCUCCUACCUCUUGUUCCAUACUUGUCGAGCGAGAGUGGAAUCCUGGCUGAAGCAUUCAAUGGAUCCCCCCGCUUAUGCCUCUUACCGGAGCACUCUUCUUGAUUUGAGUUUCCAUCUUCUCCUCGUCCCUUUAGUUAUCGGCUCUUGGGAAUGUAGGUUAGUUUCCAGCAUCACUUAGCUUUGUAACAGUCAGGUCUCUAACUCACUAUCAAGGGAUGGCUUUCUCGACCUUCCCGGCUGUGGAGGAAUCAGAAAAUACUAGAUUUUAUAUAUUUGGUUAAGCAAUCGGGAACUCGCCCGCAGGUGAGCGAUUUGCGGUCGUGAGGCAGAACCAGACCACUCAAAUGAANNNNNNNNNNNNNNNNNNNNNNNNNNNNNNNNNNNNNNNNNNNNNNNNNNNNNNNNNNNNNNNNNNNNNNNNNNNNNNNNNNNNNNNNNNNNNNNNNNNNGUAUACCCAUGGAUUGGCCAGUUCCUAUUUGGAAGGCUGCAAUUUCUUAACUGCCGCAGUUUCUACUCCUGCUAAUAGUUUAGCACAUUCUUUAUUGUUACUAUGGGGUGAGUGGGGGGGUCGUGGAAGAAGUGGGUUCUACUCCCAUAGCCCCCGUGUGGCGAACGAAAAGGUGUAUGCAGGCUGUUUGUUAUGGUCAACUUCUUUUAGAGGGGGCCCCGCAGACAGCGACAAAGAGGCCUUCACACAACAAUUUCCAAUCAAAUAAUGUCUAGAUCCUCGCUGAUGCCACCAGUAGAAAGAGAAAGAACCUCAUCGGGCAUUUGCCCGGUAUCCGUACUUGGUCUCGUCUUAGUCUUUCUGAAAUACACCGCUUGGCCAGGUUCAUAAGACGCAGUGAAAUCUGGUGCUGAUGCUGAUCCGGCAUAUUCAUUCUUCUCUGGAAACAUUUUGUUGGCUUGCGUCUGAUUAGCUAGUUGGUGAGGAUGGCUAUCUUGUAAUAUUCAAUCCGCAGGGACACACGGUGUCGGGGGGAAACACCCGCGUGCGCCAUCUUUGUUCCUAUUUAAAAGUGGAAUGAGAAGAGAGCGAGAGGGAGAAACAUUUUGUUGCCCCCUCCGAGCUUUGCUCGUCUCCCCUCGGGGGUGGUUGGGCUCAAAAGUGGUCUUCCCUUAUUCUAUUUCCUCGGAGGAAAUAGUCGGGUCGGAAAACGCAAGUACCGUGCAAACAAGAGUUGGCUUCCGCGCGCGCGCGUAAGAGCUGAACGCUUUGUCUUUUUCGCCACAUCGGGGUUAUGGGAGUCGAACCCAAUUCUGUUGUCCGCCGAAAACCCCCGAACGAGCAAAGCUCUAAUAUGUUCUUGUUGACAAGGGCUUCCGCGACACCCCUUUGCUACUCGAUACGCAACUGCGCAUCCUGCACACCCUGAUUGAGUCUGAUUGAGCCCUGCAGUGGUAGAACCUGGUGAACCGGGCUACUCCUUCCUUCGGGUCCGAGGUUGAGGCAGGCUCAGGCUCUGACGCUAUAGGCAAAUUGAGAUCGAAACGCAUGGGCGGAAGAAGGAGAUCGGUACAAAAUGUUUCCCCUGACACAUAAAAGCCACUCUCUUAUCCAACUAGCUAAUCAGACGCAAGCCAACAAAAUGUUUCCAGAGAAGAAUUCGCUACCCCCUUGACGCAAAAGCUGGCUUAAGGGUACAGCGCAAGACGUUUGACAGAAGGAAAGACAGAGAGAGAAGAGAGUUCUCAUAGUCGACUAUGCAAUCUUAAGGUCUUUCAAACUUUCAAUCCUUCUUGCUUAGAGAUUCGGAGAUCGCCCCCCUUUCCUGGAAAGUAGUCACUACCUGAGCCAUGCCAUCAAUUGAUUGCAGGAAUCACCCAGAGGCUCAUUCCACUAUCGGCCGGUAUGGAGAAUGGAGAUUGAAAGGACUUUUAGAUGAAAGACAGAAAGCCUUACUGAUGAUUCGACGGACGGAAUAAGCUGGCGUACGAAGGAGGAAGGCAACUAUUUCAAGUCAAAGCCUCUAGAAAGAAAGAAAGCCUUUUUGCAUUUCUCGCAGAUGAUGAGUUAAGGUGCUGUUUUUGAGGGGCACCCCUUCAGGAUAAAACAGAUAGCCCCGGAUCGCGCUUUAUGAGCAGACAUAGAUAAAUAUUGACCUAAAGCAUAUACUGUUGUUUUUCUCUUCUUUAACAUAAAUAUAAAGUUUGCCUCCUAUUAAUGAAUGAUAAGCAUUUAUAUAUAUAUAUAUUUAUUAAACUUUCUUUUCUUAACGACGAGAUCUAUUAUCGCUUUUCGCAUGUCCUCGGAAAGUAAAAAGUGUAGAACGAUUAGUUCAUAAGGACCACCGUUGUAUAACCAUUCGUCAACGGAUGCCGCUUCCCAGAUUGGGUAAAAGUGCAAACCUAUAGCUGCAGAAGUAGGAAUAAUGGCACCAGAGAUAAUAUUGUUGCCAUAAAGUAGAGAUCCGGAAACAGGUCCUGUGCCACUUGAACUCAAAUCUAUGGAAUUGGGAUGCUUGUGUGCUACCUUUCUAAUAGAAUACCCCUUUUCGAUAAGUAAGGAAUUGUCCUCAAUAUCUUGUUCAUUCACAACAAAAAUUUUUCUUUGUGCGUCGGUAAAAAAAAACAUGCUUUUUGGGGGAGAGAUACUAUUUCACCAAUCGAGUCACAGGUAUCUAACAUAUUCAUACCUAACGAUUUUCCACAAAGUGGUGGUGACGAAACGUAUAACUUGUACAAAUCUUUCCCAACAGUUGUACCUUGUCUUGGGGCGUCUUUGGCUUUACGAGAGAAAGCUCGCCGGAGAAAGCCAGGUUCUGUAGGUAAGCUCUAUUCGGCCCGGAGCAUUGAUUCCCCAUAACGAAUAGGCUAGCUCUAUCUCUCAAUUACCUAUCCUGUACUCGAGAAGGUCCCUCAGUUCCUCGGCCUCGAGGUGCAUUUAGUUGUCUUACAUGAGACUCGGGAUAUUCCCCACUCCAUGGCAUGACACCUUUCGCUCAUCCUUUGUGUAUGUAUAAACAUCUUUUUCCCUUAUCCUACUCGCUGGUCUCACUAUAUUAUCAGUUCUAAUUGCAACAUUCCUCUCACCUCAGACCUAGGCAAAUUUCGACUUCUAUGAAGUUUUUUUCUUUGCUACAGCUGAUAAAAAUCGUUGUUUUAGACGAUUCGUAUGUAGAAAGCCCACGAUCUAAUAGAUCGUUGUAUCGAGUAGUUGGAUCAUAGUCUCUUACCAUAAAAAUGGCUGCAUGCGCAGCAGCGCCAACUAUGUGAAAUACUCGUUUGGCCGAGGGCUUCCAAACACAUCGUAAGCUAAACCGGUGCUGACGAAUAACCAACCCGCAAUGAAUAGGGAAGGUAUAGUAAUGCUAUGAAUGACCCAGUAACGAAUACUGGUAAUAAUAUCAGCNNNNNNNNNNNNNNNNNNNNNNNNNNNNNNNNNNNNNNNNNNNNNNNNNNNNNNNNNNNNNNNNNNNNNNNNNNNNNNNNNNNNNNNNNNNNNNNNNNNNNNNNNNNNNNNNNNNNNNNNNNNNNNNNNNNNNNNNNNNNNNNNNNNNNNNNNNNNNNNNNNNNNNNNNNNNNNNNNNNNNNNNNNNNNNNNNNNNNNNNNNNNNNNNNNNNNNNNNNNNNNNNNNNNNNNNNNNNNNNNNNNNNNNNNNNNNNNNNNNNNNNNNNNNNNNNNNNNNNNNNNNNNNNNNNNNNNNNNNNNNNNNNNNNNNNNNNNNNNNNNNNNNNNNNNNNNNNNNNNNNNNNNNNNNNNNNNNNNNNNNNNNNNNNNNNNNNNNNNNNNNNNNNNNNNNNNNNNNNNNNNNNNNNNNNNNNNNNNNNNNNNNNNNNNNNNNNNNNNNNNNNNNNNNNNNNNNNNNNNNNNNNNNNNNNNNNNNNNNNNNNNNNNNNNNNNNNUUGCACCAGGUGCUAAAGCAUGGGUGUUUUGUAUCCAUUGAGCAAAGACGGGUUGUAAUUGGAUAGCGGUAUCUGAAUACAUAUCUUGAGGACUCCCUAAAGCGCUCAUGGUAUCAUUAUGAAUAUACAAACCAAAACUGUGAAAUGCAGGUGCAUGAUACACAUCGGUAUUCCAGUGCAUUUCUCCCUCUGAGUCAGAAUAAAUAUGUUUUCGAACCUUCUCUUUAAAAUUCAAAGUGGAUGUUCGACUCUAUUUUUUUGUUUCUGAGUUUUAUGUCUUUUCUUUAUUUUAGCGAAAAGAUCAAAUACCGAAUCCAUUGAGUUUUCUGGUAUUCAAGCGGAUUGGAACAUUCUUGGUGGAAAAAAAUGUGAUUGAAAGAUCCCACUGAAUUAAAUUGGGUCCGUGAAUCUAAGAAAUAGUGAGAAUUCUUGGUAUAGACGCUUAUGACCUCCCCCUCUAUGCCCUGCGGUAAUGAUUCCUCUGGCAUUACGACCUUUACCACAAUGAUGCUGUCCAUAGAUCAAAUUAUUUCGUGGAUUGGAUUUCACUUGACUGUCUACGGCUCGAUUAAGCAGGUCCGAUUACUAUGCCUAUUCCUAAUCCUAAAUGUAAUGUAAUGACGUAGGGAUCCAUAUGUAAACAUAGUCUCUAUUUAGAUACGCUCAAAAGAAACAAAAGAAUAGGUUACAUUUUUCAUAUGAUCUCCUCUUAUAGAUAGACUAAAAAAAAAAACAGAGUUCUUUUUGUAUAACCUUGCCCCUGUUCUCACAAGAACAUUUUGUAGUCUUAGUAAGAGGGGGAAGGGUUAAGGAUUUACCCGGUGUGAGAUAUCACAUUGUUCGAGGAACCCUAGAUGCUGUCGGAGUAAAGGAUCGUCAACAAGGGCAUUCUAGUGCGUUGUAGAUUCUUAUCCAAGACUUGUAUCAUUUGAUGAUGUAUUCAAGAAAAGAAUAUUCUAGAAAAAUUCAUAGAAUUAGAGGAAAUCCUUCUCUUGGAGGAAAUGAUCAAGGAAUACUCGGAGUCACAUCUACAAAACCUUCGUAUAGGAAUCCACAAAGAAACGAUCCAAUUCAUCAAGAUACACAAUGAGGAUCGUAUCCAUACGAUUUUGCACUUCUCGACAAAUAUAAUCUGUUUCGUUAUUCUAAGUGGUUAUUCUAUUUGGGGUAAUGAAGAACUUGUUAUUCUUAACUCUUGGGCUCAGGAAUUCCUAUAUAACUUAAGUGACACAAUAAAAGCUUUUUCUAUUCUUUUAUUAACUGAUUUAUGUAUCGGAUUCCAUUCGCCCCAUGGUUGGGAACUAAUUAUUGGCUCUGUCUACAAAGAUUUUGGAUUUGUUCAUAAUGAUCAAAUUUUAUCUGGUCUUGUUUCUACUUUUCCAGUCAUUCUAGAUACACUUUUUAAAUUUUGGAUUUUCCGUUAUUUAAAUCGUGUUUCUCCGUCACUUGUAGUGAUUUAUCAUUCAAUGAAUGAUUGAAAAAGGAUCCACUUACAUUAAUCCAAUUCUAAUGUUUCUUACUUUGUAGUUGUACAUAAGCAAAGUAUGGAAAAUCAUACUUACUCUUUAUAUUUCCGGAGAUUUAUAUAUUAUUCCAGUAAAUAGCAGAAUCGCGGAUAGGGAACUAUAUUAGNNNNNNNNNNNNNNNNNNNNNNNNNNNNNNNNNNNNNNNNNNNNNNNNNNNNNNNNNNNNNNNNNNNNNNNNNNNNNNNNNNNNNNNNNNNNNNNNNNNNUUAUACAUAAUGUGAAUAUUCCACCUAAAAGUUUUCUUUUAGUUCAAAAUGAUCAAUAUGUAGAAUCAGAACAAGUGAUUGCUGAGAUUCGCGCAGGAACAUCCACUUUGAAUUUUAAAGAGAAGGUUCGAAAACAUAUUUAUUCUGACUUAGAGGGAGAAAUGCAUUGGAAUACCGAUGUGUAUCAUGCACCUGCAUUUAUUUAUGGGAAUGUUCAUCUCUUACCAAAAACAAGUCAUUUAUGGAUAUUAUUAGGAGAGCCAUGCAGAUCCGAUCUAGUCGCCCUCUCGAUCCACAAGGAUCAAGAUCAAAUGAACGCCCAUUCUCUUUCUGUCAAGAGAAGAUAUAUUUCUAACCUCUCAGUAACUAAUGAUCAAGCGAGACACAAAUUCUUUAGUUCGGAUUUUUCUGGUAAAAAAGAAGAUAGGAUUACUGAUUAUUCAGAACUUAAUCGAAUUGGUCAUUAUAAUCUCCCAUAUCUGGCCAUUCUCCACGCAAAUUCUGACAAGGAAAUCGGUGAAGUAUGAGUGGACAGAAAAGUGUGAGCAUAGUUUUCAAGAACUAAAAUGGAGGUUGAGUGAGGCACCUGUAUUAUCUUUACCAGAUGAUACGAGGAAUUUUGUAGUUUAUAGAGAUGCUUCGCAUAGAGGACUAGGUUGCGUGCUUAUGCAGCAUGGCAAGGCCAUUGCGUAUGCGUCACGUCAGUUAAAGGAUUAUGAGAAGGUCUAUCCUACUCAUGACCUAGAACUGGAAGUUGUGGUGUUUGCUUACAAAAUAUGGAGACAUUACUUAUACAGGGAGAAGUGUGAGAUAUACACGGACCAUAAAAGUCUGAAAUAUAUCUUCACACAGAAGGAGUUGAACAUGAGGCAGAGAAGGUGGUUAGAAUUAAUAAAAGAUUAUGAUUGUGAUAUCUUAUAUCAUCCGGGAAAGGCGAAUGUAGUAGCAGAUGCAUUGAGUCAGAAGGGCAAAGAGAAACUGUCGAUGUUAACGACUUAGAAUGAGUUAAUAACAGAGAUGGGGAGGAUGAAAUUAGAAGUUAAGUUACCAAGGGAAACGAGGGAGAUGUUAUUUGCAAUAGAAACUCGACCAACGAUAGUGGAACGGGUUAAGGAAGUACAGUUGAGUACUGAAGAAUGUGAACGGAUGAAGAAGAUAAUGAAGGAUGACGUGAAGACUAAGUAUAACCUUGAUAAAGAAGGUUUACUUCGUUUUGAAGGAAGAAUUUGGGUUCCAAAUAAUUCCGAAUUGAAGGAAGAGAUUAUGUGUGAGGCCAAUAGUUUGAGGUACUCGAUACAUCCUGGUAGUACUAAGUGUUGGUUUUCGGCACAGAAACGCAUAGCGGAAAUUAAAAUUUUAAAGCAAUUUUCGAAACCCUAAAAACAGGAUCCAUGCGAAAAACAAUUAAUUCAGUGGUUUUAGAUAUUAUACCGAUUAUUGAAUUUUCUGAAACGUUCCGAAUCUCCAACAUAAUUCCUCACGGUACUACAUCUCUACGGUAUCCACACGAACGCACGCAAAUCGUUGAACGAUUCUGCAAUAAAAGGAGAUGCGGUACUAGCCACCAAAGGAACAAGAUUUUCGAACUUUUCUCUAGUCUCUCUCUAAGAGCGGCUAGGGUUUGUAAGUUUUUGAUUAUCUUCCUAAGUGACUGCUAUAUAUCAUAUAUAUAGUAGUUAAAAGGUAUUAAUCAAAACCUAAUUUCAUAAAAUCCGAAUUUAUAUAUAUAUAUAUAUAUAUAUAUUAAUUUAGUCUUACUUAAUUAAUAUACCUAUAUAUAAAUUAUCCUAUUAAUUUAAAUUCGUAAUUUAAAUACUAUCAAUCAUAUUGACAUAUUUAAAUCUUUACAAUUUAAAUUAAUUCCCUUUUAAUUACGUUCUAUGUGUGUGACCCUAUAGGUUAUUAUUACGUUGGCAAUAAUUUUAAAAUCAUAUUAUAAAAUUAUAAACAGUGAGCGGCAUCUAGUAAUGCAUCACUGCUACCCAAGUAAUAAUAAGAUCGAUGAUUCGAUGCAACCUUUUCGUGACCAAUGUUUCAAUGUAAUUUAAUCCUUUUAACCUUAAUAUCCUAGAUUAAACUCGAGUCAUGGAAUGUGUCAUACUCUUCAUAAUUUAAUCUGAGUUUUCUUGAUCAAUGAGUAGACUAUAUGAAACAAAUCACUAUUUGAGCAUGGCCAUGCAUUUCAUAGUCCUACUCAAUCAAGAGGCCUAUGGAUAUCACCCAUAAUAUAUAGGAUGGUUAAAUUCCAUCUAGAUCACUCAUAUUUCUCACACGAUUAAUGAUGAACCCAAUAAUCACCUUUAUAGUCCACCCUAUUAAAGGUGACAUUUGAUGAUAUCAAAGUACAUAAAUUCUCGUGUAGUAAUAUAGCGAUUUCAGGUCGGAGGACCAUUACAUCAUUGUCACUAUGAGAAUUGCUAAUGACACUUCGCAUAAUGCUCCAUAUAGAAUUCUCAUGGUGGGUCUGUCCAGUACAUCGUUCUCUAACAUGUACCUAUGCAUUGACUUAAUAUCUCAUAUAUUUAUGACCAAUGAGAUUUGGUCAUCAGUCAAUCCACAUACUAGUCUCAAUGCAUCAUUGUUGUCCCAUCAACAAUGAUACUCGACUAGGGACAUUUAAGAACACUGAUACUAAUGGUAAUAUAUAAUCUCAUGUUCAAGUCACAUACUUGAAACUAUAUAAUUUGUAUCACUAUUCUAAGGAAUUUUAUUAUGUUAACAAUUAUAUUACGCAGUAAAUAAAACCAUAAUAAAAUCAUAUAUUUAUUCAAUCAAAUAUAAUAUCAAAACGUUAAGCAAUUAUAUCAAAUAAUUAGCCUCUAGGGCAUAAACUCUAACACUAAGAUGUAUCAAGACCUUUGUCAGAACUUUUGGUGGCCGAACAUGAAGAGGGAGAUUGCAGAAUAUGUUAGUAAAUGCUUAACUUGUCAAAAAGUUAAGGCUAAACACCAAAGACUGAGUGGACUGAUACAACCACUGGAGAUUCCAGAGUGGAAAUGGGAGCAUAUCACCAUGGACUUUGUGGUGGGACUUCCAACGAUCAGAAAAGGAUAUGAUGUUAUUUGGGUAAUAGUGGAUCGGUUAACUAAAUCGGCUCAUUUUCUACCAAUAAGAGUUAGGUAUAACCUAGAACAGUUAGCUAAGCUUUAUGUCAAAGAAAUCAUUUCUAGACAUGGAGUACCUAUUUCGAUUGUGUCCGAUCGUGAUCAACGAUUCACGUCAAACUUUUGGAGGAGUUUGCAAAGGCAAAUGGGAACACAGUUGAGAUUGAGUACGACGUAUCAUCCACAGACGGAUGGGCAAAGCGAACGGACAAUUCAAACGCUAGAAGAUAUGUUAAGAUCUUGCGUUAUGGAUUUCAAGGGGAGUUGGGACGAACAUCUACCGUUGGUAGAAUUCGCUUACAACAAUAGUUUUCACGCUAGUAUAGGCAUGCCGCCUUACGAAGCGUUGUAUGGAAGGAAGUGUAGAACACCACUUUGUUGGGAUGAAGUAGGUGAACGUCGAAUAUUGGGACCUGAGAUGGUACAAAAAACGGCAGACAUGGUAAAGCUGUUAAGAGCUCGAUUAGUAGCGGCUCAAGAUAGACAACGGAAGUAUGCAGAUCCUCAUUGAGAGAAGAGGGAGUUUGAAGUAGGGUCUUAUGUCUUUCUAAAAGUAUCGCAUUGGAAAGGGAAGAUACAUUUUGGAAAGAAAGGGAAGUUAAGUCCGAGGUUUGUAGGACCUUUUGAGAUUUUAAGAAGGAUAGGAGAGGUAGCUUAUGAAGUAGCCUUACCUCCAGAAAUGGAAAGAAUACACAAUGUGUUUCACGUGUCUGUGUUGCGUCCUUAUAAACCGGACUAUAAGCAUGUAAUAGAGUAUGAUUCUAUUCAAGUAGAAAAAGACUUAACGUAUGAAGAACUUCCAAUUCAGAUUAUUGAUAGGAAGGAACAAGUCUUGAGAAAUAAAGUAAUACCUUCCGUAAAGGUAAUUUGGAGUAACCAUGACGCUGAAGAAGCAACAUGGGAGCUCGAAAGUAAAAUGAAGGAAAAGUUUCCUCAUUUGUUUAUGUAAGAGUAACGAGAUUCUGGGGACAGAAUCCUUAUAAGGAGGGAAGAAUGUAACGCCCAAGAAUUUCGAAUUUUUAAUGAAUUAAAUUUUUAUUUGAUUAUGUGGAUUAAAUGAAUUUAAUUGAGUUAUUAUGUGAGUAAGAUGUUCGAAGGUCGUUCUAUGACCUAGAAUGUGUAGAUGUGGUUAGUAUUCUGGCUUUGUGCUAGAAUUAAUUGUUGUGAAUUAUCAAGACGAGAACGAAGGUUUUCUAAGAUUGUUUGCGUAAAAACACUAUUCAUCCGAUGACGUUCGGAGCUAGGGUUUGAAAUUCUGAGAAACGUGUAAUGUUAGAAUAUGAUGAUAUUAUGGAAAAUCCAAUAAUAUUACCGUUAUGGCAAACGAAAUUUUCGCCUGCAGACUUAAAACCUAAGGGUUUAUGGAAGAGGUUUCCGAAAGAGAAAUGUAAUGCGUAUAGUCGUUUCGAUUAUAAUACGUAAGGAAUAUGAGUACUAUACUAGUAUGUAUAUGAGUAUGAUAUGAAGAAUAGUACGACGUAUAAUACGAGUAUUAUUGAAUAUUAUACGAAGAGAAUACGUGAAUAAUACGCGUAGAAUACGAAUUGUAUUAUGAAAGUAUGAGCUAAGGAUUUUAUCCAAUCCAAUUGGACUUGGAUUAAUAUACAAGCCCAAUGAAUUAAUUAUACAAGCCCAAGUCAAGGCCCAAUAUUAGAUUGCUUAAAGCCCAAUGUUUUUUUUAUGUCAAGCCCAAUCCAAAAAGUAAACCACAGGUCGAACCGAUGGGUCAAGGGAUGGGUAAAACCCAUGGGACAACCCAUGGGGAUGACCCAUGUGCAAGGUGGGCCGGCCACUUGGUGUGCAAGCCAAGUGUAUCACUUGGUCACCAAGUACUUUACUUGGUGACAAAGUGGUAAAUAAGUGAGGAGGUGGGGAAUUGGACUAUUUUGCCCCUCAUUUGCUUUUCUAUAUAUAAGGCUUAUGUUGGCCAUUUGGUGGUUUUACAAAGUUUUUCCAACAUAUUUGAGAGAGAGAAAAGAGCUAGAAUCCUAUAAUCCUUCUACUUCUAAGCAAACCAAUAGACGUUUAUCAAGAACGUUAACUACUUCAAAGGUAAAUUCUUAUAAACCGUAAUCUUUUUUCCUUUUCGAUUUCUCUCUCAUAGAAGAAUCGUAGAUGAGUGGAGAGUGUUUAUUGAGAAGGCCUAUUAAUGACCAAAUCAUGGAUAGGUCUUGACCAAAUAGAAAUCAUAAGUGUUUACGGAAGUAGAAAAUAUAGAAAGUCUUGAACGUGAACUUAGUUAUAAUUGAACGUUUUGGAAAUCGUUGUAGCUAAGGUAUGUGCAACUUGAUUUGGGUAGGAUGUAGAUAUGAAGUCCAUAGAUUAUUCCAUGUGAUUUGGCUUAGAGAACAUUAGUAACAAAGUUAUAACGAAUUUUGCGAAAAUAGACGUUAAACGUCGAAAACGUAUAAAGUCCGGAUUAAGGGUCAAAAGUUGUCGUGUGACUUGAAAAUGUCGGUUUCCAAUGUCAACACGUGAGAUAAGGUAACUAAGAGUCGUUGGCGAAAGAAUCGUCGCAUUCCGACUUAUAACGAAGAAAACGAGUAUUGAACGGGCGAAAACGUUAAACGAAUGCUUACAAAUGAACUUAAAGGUAAAUUCCGAGUUAACGGAUUCAAAAAGGUGAAAUUCUUAUACGAACACGUAAAGGAUGUAAUUUGUGGCUUGUAGGAAUUCGAAUGGGUCAAUUCUAUUGUAAAACGAACAAAUUAGGAAGCCAGGAGUUUCGUUAAGAAACCAAAUCUGUUUUGGCUAACUGGUGCACAGACUCGGCGCCGCAGCGCCAAAACCAGUACAAAGUGGUGGCGUCGCAGCGCCAGACUCGGCCGAGUACCCUGCUAACUCGCGCCGUAGCGCCACUAAAACAUAAGGGAUGCCGCGCCGCAGCGCCGACAGUGGGAAAAAGUUGACCAAGUUAGGUUUAGUUCCAUUUUGAAUGUAGACCUAAAGUAAGAUGUUAAAGGUACUUAAAGUACAUAAUGAGACUUACGUUAAAACACUUAAAAGAUGUUAAUGUAAGAAGAACGGGUAAGGUUUAAUGGAAAUUAAAUGAAGAACACAAAUACGUAAUGAGUGAACCGUGAACUACGUUCAACGUUGGUAACUAACCAUUAAUGAUCGAAUGUCGGCUAAGGACGUAAGAAUGUUAAUGAAACGUAAUGAAGUAUAGAUAGUCGAAUCGACUUUAAUAACGAAGGUAAACCAAGUAAUACAUAGAAGAGAAAGAAGUUGGUUAGAACCAUAAAGGUAGUUUAUGUGAUAACUAAUUACAGUGUGCUAUGUGAAUAUCUCAUGUAGAUCCUAUAAAGAUUGAGAAUAGUUGGAGUAUAUAUUCAAAGACGCUUGAAGGCAAGUCUUUCUUAACGUUUGUCUGACCUUCGUGUUAGUCAAGUUUUUACGUGAUGCAUGUUAUACUAUGCAUGAAUGGUAAACAUAAAAGAGUCGAUGCUUGUUUUAUUAGGGCUAGAUAAGUAUUGAAGAGUUGAUUGAUCCGUUGAGGCAUUAAAUGCAUUUUACUUUUCUGAUCUUUGAUGGAGACAUUUCUGCACAUCUUCUGAAACUGCAUUCUGGCCCACUGACACAGCAGACUGCUUUCUCACCUAACACCUGAAAAGGUGUUUUGUCCCUCUAACCCAUGGUACUAUCCUUAGCUCCUUCAAUACACUUCUUUGUUUCAUACUAAGGAUAUUUCAUAUACUCUGGGACUGAUGAGUACUGUAGCGUCUAGAAUCCAUUCCUCAUAUGUUGAAAUCUACCUUUACACAAAUCAUGAGGCUCGACGUUUUCUGACAUAAGACAGAUGCUCUACGAUUCAGAUCAUGAUACUCUACUAUUCAGAUCGUAGUGACUUGUUGCCUUGGUGCUUGAUCUGAUGCUAUCAUUUAGAGAGCACUACAAUUUCUCUUAAACCCUUGCACACUAUGAUCUUUACUUGCUCGUGUUGUUAACUCUACGUUCCCGAGAGCACACUACAAUCGUUGACUUGUAAACUCCAUGUUUCCUUCAGCACACUAAGAUCGUGGAGUUGGCUCAUUGAACGUUGGGACCACUCUACGAUUUCCUAAGAGUCCCUUCAAAGCGGGCACACUACGAUCUUUGAAGCUCUACGUUUCUGCCUUGACUUCUUCAAUGUUGAUUAGAUGAUACACUACGAUUUCUUCGAAGCCUAUCUAUUACAUCUCAAGAUCAACGUAACAGCUUUGAUCUUUCUAUCUAUACAUUCCAUUACAGAAUGAUACACGUUAAGAUCUUAGAUCAACCUAACAAAUUUGAUCUAUCACUAAGUCCUUGUACAUAUCUUACUUGGAAGGACUUUACAAAUAAUCAUGAGCAUAUACAUUAAAACAUCAAAUCAUAAUAUGCAUUCUCCCAACAAUCUCCCCCUAUUUGAUGUUGACAUAACCAAGGAGAUUUGUUGUCAUAAUUAUUAGUGACUAUAUGAAUUUACAGAAAAUUUAAACAUGACUUAGUAUUUCAGUGAGCAGCUAAAAUUUCUAGAGAAUAAGCAUGAAUUUAUUGAUGAACAAGAGAUAUUACAUUUUAGCAUUACAUCAAUAGGAAUUUAAAGUUUCAACUUAUCUCUAUUUCUUUGACUUCUUUCGUGGAGGGUUUGCAUACUCCUCAGCUCUUCUCUUUCUGCAAGCUUCCUCGUUUCUGGCUAACUCUUCCAGCUCGCUUGGGCUUAGUCUUGGAUUUUCCUCAUGCCUGUACAUGAAUGCAGGAUCUCCAGUAGGCAUUCUUAUGCAUACAGUAGACACAUCUUGUGAGCUGGGAGUUGACUCCUGACGGCUUAAUGGUAUAGCCAUUACAAUUCCAUGUUGAUCAGAUCGUAGAGUCUGACUGUGGAAUUGUCUUACAGGAGGGCUUCGUGAUGCUUGAGCUUGAUAUUGUCCUCUUCCCCUUUCUUGAGUUCUAUGACCUCCUCUGCCUCUGCCUUGAUCUCCCUGUCCUCCCUUAACUCCUUUCCCUUUAUUCUCUCCCUUUAUGUCAGCAUCAAGGGUUCGAAUAUCUGCAGACAGGCGAUUAACACCUUGGACAAACUCGUUCAGUUGGCUUUGUGUCUGAGCAAUGUCUUCUCUACUUUCUUUGAUUUGUUUGUCAGAUCUUGCUUCUUUGUUUCGGAGGGCUGUUAGAACCAUGUCAUUCUGUUUUUCUUGAUUGACAUAAGAUUUCUGGAAGUCAUAGACAGAAGCUUUCAAGUUGAUGAUUGUUGGUUGAUUUCGCAAUCAAUAAUCACGUGCAAGUAUACACGGUCAAAGUGAUAAGAAAAGUAUCGUUCCCACAGAGAAUUCUAAUUAAUAAAUCCCAACUACUAGUACUAUAUAAAUCCAAUUUUAUUUAAACAAUGAUAAAUUAUGAUUUUCUGAAAUAUGGAACUAAAUUAAAUAAUUAAAGAUAUUAUUCUAAAAUAAGCAAAUAAAUAAACUCAGCUUUGACUGAUUGAUUUCCGAUAAAUAAGGAUUAAGACUUCAAUAUCCCCAAUUAUGAACUAUAAAUCAAUUAUCCAAUUAUCCCAAUUAUUAUGUCUACUGAAUUGUUAACAGGAAUUCUCAAAUGUCAAAAGUCCUUUUCCAAGUAAUCAGCUGACUUCUAUUUAAUCCAGAUUAAUCUUGCUACAUUCCUAUACAAAACAAGUGAAUUAAACUCUUUCAAUUCCAAUUCCUUAUGUGUUACAUGCGGUGAAAAGAUAUUUUCAUUCAAUUCACAAAUCUAAUUAUUCACUAAGCAAAUAAAUAAGUCACACAUUAUCAAACCCAGUUCUAACCCUAGAAUUCCUCUUUCAAUUCCUUCUAGAGUUACAAGGUAAUUAUUGGCCAAAUAAUUAAUCAAUAGAUGCAAGGCAUGAUAAACAAUUCACUUCAACAUAAAUAAUUGGAAUAAACUGAAUAACUAAUUUAUAGCCAUAAAAGGUUCAAUUGAAAUCUUAAUUAAAGAAUUAGUUCAUAACGGAAAUAAAAACUAAUAAUCGUUUGUAAAACAUCCUUAAGGAAUUACAAAUUGAAAAUAAGGAGAAGAAGAAAAAAACUCUGUUACUAAUCCUUAGUCUUCAAGUAAUCCUUGUAAUAGCCUCCAAUGAAUGAAUGAUUCAAUAGAUGAAUGAAUAGAUUUAAUUUCAGCACUUGGUCUCUUUUUAUAGCUUUCACAAUCCCAAUCCAAUUAGGCUUCACAUAAGCUCCCAAUAAUCAAGUCAGCCAAAAGUCAACACGCGCGUCUUGGUCGACGAGCAGCUCGACCCAGCGCCCCGGUGCUCUCUGUAGUUCAUUUCCCAGCGCCCCGGCGCUGGGCUUCUAAAAAUUACGAUUAUGCCAUUUUGUAGCUUAAAAUUCCCAAACGCUCCUAUAACUCCCAAACCUGUAAAACAAAACAUAAACACAGUAAGAAUGCCAAUAAAAUACUUGAGAAUACAUAGAUUCAAGCUUCAGUAUAUCCAAUUUAUGGGUAUAUUACCCAAUCAUCAAUGAUAUUAUCUAGCAUAAGCUUAUGUUGAGUGUCUUGAUGUUUCUGCAUUUCAAGAACAACCUCUCUUUGCUUGGCAGCUAUCUAGAAGUGAAUCUCAUCUCUGUCCUUCAUACUCUUAAGAAUUUCUUGGAUAAUUUCCCUCAGUUUCUUUGUAAUCUCAGUGUUCAUAGUGCCAGGAAAAUUAUUUGCUGCUGUAAUCAUUUGAUUCAACCGGAUAUGGAUGAGAUCGGAGUGAGAUUCCAGACUGUCUUCUAUAUUCUUGACCAUGUUCUUGGUUGCUUCUUUCAAGUCAUCCUUGGUGGGCAGGUUUGGGAGAGUAUCAUUGGUUUGAGGAUUAUUGGUUGGAGGGGUUGUUUGCUGGGAUUGAUCUUGCAAGUUGUAAAGAGCAAGAUCAAGACUAAAGUAGUCAUUUGAUGAGGAGGAUGGUAUAUUGGAUGGAGGGGCCUGAGGUUCAGUGUUUGGACUAUAGGGCUCUACGAUAUCUAUUUGGGACUCUACGACUGGGCUAGAGUCAGGGAUCGUAGAGAUAGUGGUUUAUGGGAGCAAAGUAAGGUUGGCUUCAUUUGGUUCUUCCGUCACAAUCAAUUUCCUUGUUGUAGAAUUGACUGAAUGAAGAUGAUGGUAGGUGAUUAACUUUGAAGAAAUCAGGGAUAGUCAGUACCUCAAGUUUAUCCUUGGAUGAAGAAUGGUCAGUAAGCAGCUUUUUGGCAAAGUUGACUUUCCCUGGGAAUCCAUGAGCCAGAACUGAGAUGGCUGGAUACUCUUUGAAGCUCCAGAACAUGUGAUCCCAUGAGUUCAGGAUUUGAGCUUGAUGGUAUGCCAUCAUGGGUAGGUAAGAAAACAUUUGAUUAUACAGAUAGCUUCUAUAUCCACCUUUACUUAUACCAGUGAUUUAGAGCUCAUCAUCAUCAUCAUCUUGUUUUUUUGUUUGUUCUCUUCUGAGGAUUCCAUUAUCUCAAUGGUCUCUGGAUGGUCUUGCACUGGUUCAUCUUUAUUUUGUGCAGGGACCUCUUCUUCUGCCAUGUGGAUAUCAUGAGGCUCCCCCUCAGCAUGAUUAUCUUCUUGAGAGUUCAGAAAAUCCCACUCAGUUGGAACAUUUUCUUGAAAGUGCAGAAACUCCCCCUCAGCUGGAACAUCUUCUUGAGCUGCAGACUUCUCCCCCUCAGCCGGUGUAUUCUCUAUCAUUAGAAUUUUAGGGGCCUCCCCCUCAGCUGGAGCACUGUCCUCUUUAUUUGCUUGGGACAGUUCUUCUUCUGUAGCCACACUCUUGGCUUCCUUUUUAGCACCUUUUCAUUUUCAAGAAUGUACUUCUUGACCAGCUUUCUCCUUGAUUUGCUGGAUUUUGCCACAACUUCAGGACUCUCUUGAGUCUUAGCUUUGUCUUAUUGAAUAACUACUAUACUUGAAGCAGCUACCUCCUAUUCUACCACACUUGGUCUUGUCUCAGUGAGUAGCAGAGACUCUAUGAUAGAGGUAACUGAUGGUCUUUUGGACUUAUGUCCAACUUUGUUCUUCUUUAGGAUCUGUGAUAUGGUGGCUUGAUCCUCAUUAGCUUCAUCUUGCUGUUUCUUCAUUCUCAACAAUCUCAGAGUCUCUAUAUCAGAGGACUCUACAGGAAUAUCAGUUUUAGAUCCUUGAGGCUCUUUUAUCUGUCUAGCCCUUAGCUUCCUCUUACCCUUGCUUUUUAUGGAAAGGGCAGAGGGUUCUCCCUUGUCGGCUUCUCCUUCUUCUUCAACUUCCCUGACAACAGACAUGUCCCCUGGAAAGCCUGCGUCCCUUAGUUCCCCGGUUCUUCCACUGGACUCUGUCAUCAUUCGCACAUGCUCAGCAGGGUUUCUCUUCUAGUUUUCAAACAACUGCUGGGUCAUUCUUCGAUUUGGGUUGAUGGCUUCUCCCUCUUCAUCCCCAAUUUUGUCACCAAGUGCAGAUUGCAGAAUGAUACUUAUAAAACACCCAUACAGCAACUUUAGAGGGCUUUUUGAUUUCUUCGAGUUGACGAUCCACUUGCUGAUCCACUCGAGUAAUACAGCUCCAUAGUUGAGUUGUAUUUCAUAAAACAUGGCCGUCAUAAGCUUAAGUUAAGCUUCAUUCACUGAGUCAUGACCUGAGCUCUUGCAGCAUAUGCAUUUUCCAAUAAUGUCAGCCAAGAACUCGUACUUUUGUGGGAACUCCUUCUUUUUGUAUCCGUUUACAGAGGGAUUUUUCUUGUGAUGCAUUUUCCUUAGUCCCUCUUGGAAGUUUAUGCUGUCUAAGAAUGGGUUCCCUUCAUUCUUGAAACCUAGGGCCAGAUUGAAGUCCUCUUCCCUUAGUCUCAUUUCUAUUCCCUUUACUCGUGUAGUGAUGAUGUUAUGUUUGAACACACCAUUCUUAUAGAACUCCUUCACUAGCUUGGGAUAGAUGAGUGUAUCGGUGCUCAACGCCUCUUCGAGACCUGCCUUCUUCAGUAGUGUUAGGGUCUUGUGAAAUUUUGGUGGAGCAGUUUUGAACUCGUCAAAGCAGAGUCUAUAACCUGAAACCACAUUGGAAGCAGCCAUUGAUUUUGUAGUUGGAGGUGAGAUAUGACUGAGCUUUCUGCUGAUUUAGGGUUUUGCUUUGAGAGAGAGAGAAGAUGAGAGAGAUAAUCUUUUGAACUUUAGAUUUCAAAAACACGAUUUCAAUUUGUAAUUGUAACUUCCCUCUCUCUAUUUCACUUAGUGGGACAGGUGUCGCCUUUUGCUUGGUUCUACUGUUUUGACUGUGUAGGAAUGUACUGAUUUGCCCUUUGUGUCUUUAGAGCUGAGGUGUCCUUAGGAAGACUAUGAUCGUUGAGAUAGUCUUAUGUUCGUUGAGUCUGUCCUACGAUCGUUGAGUCUAGGCUACGAUCGUCGAGUCUGUCCGAAUCCUUGUGAUGAGUUUUUGACUAAGCAUUCUUUUAAGGCAGCUCAGGAAGGGCCAACCUCUUGGAGAGAUUCAAGGGUUAGGUUUGUUCCUGAGGCGCCUCUUAGAGAGAUUACUAUGGUAUGAAGCUUGUCAUCACAACAUAUAUUUUUGCUUUGUGAAUGGUGUUUGUGUCAUCGUUGACUCUGCACUACGAUAAUUAAGUCUUUGCUACGAUCGUUGAGGUAGUUUUCUCUUCAGCUCUACGAUCGUGAGCUAUCCUUGAUCAUGGCUAUGAUUUUGAGUUCAGCCUUUGUAUCUGUCUUGGUUAGCACAAUCUAGAGCAUAUAUUUCAUGGUUGUAGAUUUAGCAUACCUAGCUCACUUAUUAACUUAUUAAAUUUGGAUUCAUCUAGUGGUUUUGUAAAAACAUCAGGAAGUUGAUUUUCAGUAGGGAUAUAUUGUAAAGAUAUAGUUCCAUUUUUCAUAUGAUCCCUAAUGAAGUGAUACCUUAUUUCUAUAUGCUUAGUCCUAGAAUGCAUGACAGGAUUAUGAGUUAUUGCUAUGGCACUUGUGUUAUCACAGUGUAUGGGAAUAGAUUUGAAGUCGAAACCAUAGUCAGCUAGCUGAUUUCUCAUCCAUAGGAUCUGAGCACUGUGACGCCCCGAAAUCCGUUCUACUUUCAGACCCGAACUCCGUGUAUCACUAUUCCACUUCCUUCCAAAUACACAUCAUUAUAUAGUUAAAUAUAAUAACAUAUAUUCUAAAAUCCCAGGUUCUCGAAACCUUAAAACCUCUUUCAUUACAAAUAAUGAUAAUUACAUUAUUCUUUACAUCUUACACGAGUGACUUUCAUCCACCACAAAGGAUUCAUAAUUGUUCAUUAAACUAGUCUAUAGUUUAAUUCUAUCAUUCUAUAUUACAAGUCUUCACUUGCUCUGCACGCACAUUCACAUACUGAAUGGCACUUCGUCUGGAUACCGAUCAACUUGAUCUUUACGGGAUCCUUAAGUUCUUUCUAACAUCGUUCGCUGAAAAUGUUUUUCAGUUAAAGCAAGUGUGAGCAUUCAAUUGUCCAGCAAGUCAUAACAGUUGAACAAACAACUUCAAGAGUUUAAACAUUUUUCAAAACUUCAAUAACCGAACAAAGGUUAUGAAGAAGCUUGAAUAAUAGGAAUAGUCUCGAUUCCUAUCAUCUUAAAACAUUCAUGACAUACUCUUUGCACUACUUUCAUUCUUCUACCUUUUUCCAUACAUGUCAUGCCUGGCUAGAAUCAUUAGCACAGACUUAAUAAUAACGGUUCAUGUAUAAACCGAGCAAACUUGUAUUAAACAGCUCAAUCACAGAACAGUUCAUACCAUAGAAACACUGAAGUGUUCAGAUUAUGGCUCAAUGCCUCAUAUGUUCUACCACCUUGUAUAAACAUUGCACAUUCGCACAUAGACAUAACUUCUCAAGUACAACAUCUGAGAAGUUUAAGAAACUAGUAUUCAUAUAACAUGAAUGAAGUUAGAAAACUUGCCUUACGCACAGCUACAGCUUACGCUGAACUGCUAUUCCAAAUCCCUAUAUAACACAUAAGGAAAUACACGUACACCAAUUAGUCAUAUACUUAACUUACACAUUGGUUUACUUAACUUUACUUCUUAGGGUUUGUGUUCUUGUAAUCUAAGUUUACGUGACUAACUUUCAUUACCGGUUUACGGCUUCAUGACAUACGGAGAUGUCUUACUCAAAACAUUCAACAUCUUUGAUGAUUUGUAUUCUUAUCUUCUUUGUAUAACUUCUAUAUGACACAACAUGCAUCGCUUCUCUGCUAGUAGUCCAUAUGGUACUCUGAGUGGUUUCCCACAAACAACCAACAAACAAGUUCCCGUGUCAUCUACACUGCCCACACAGUGAGUUAGAUCGGUUGUCAGUUUUGUAUAUACCUUCGCUCUCUGAAGGAAUUGUUUAGCCCAGCUCCCAUAUGUCAACUAUCAAAGUUACGAUUGUACCACAACCUAACUUAUCUUAACUUAUACAAACCAUUAACUUAUAAUGUUCGUUAAGUCAACUUCUUAUUCCUUACGACUUUUUGGCAACUAAAUGCCAUACCUCAGGAUUCAUUCUUUAUCGUCCAAGUCAUAUAGUCUUUUGUAUACUCGAAACGAUUAUUCAAUGUCAAUACUAUGAGGUCAUAGCGUUAAACAUUUCAUAUUAAUUAUUCAUACCUUAUAAAGUCUGGUUCAUUUAAUUCGGAACGUUGUCCAUGUUAUACAUAUUAACUCAGUUCUUAACGUUAUACGUUAUUGUCCUUAACUCAGUUUCUUCACCGUUCACGGUUAAAUCUUAGCCCUCAUUACCUUACGAUCAAACCAUACACGGAGUGUAGGUUCUGCCCCUUUAAUAAUCAUAUAUACUCAACCCUUACAUUGGCUUAAGUGUCUAAUGCUUCAAUCAUUCUAACAUUCUCUAUCCGACUCACCCUCGGACUUUCAUUAAUCUCAUUACAGUUCGUUACGGCUUUCCUUGAUAAAUCAUAUCUUACUUACUACCUUCGUCAACGUCUAAGUCAUACAACCAUUAUACACUUAGCACGUUCGUCCAACUCGAAUAUAAUUCACGAUGAUCGUUUAUGUAUUCGACGUUCAUGUUGUCCGUCUCUUAAUCUCUCACUCAAUCUUCACUCAAGGUUUCAAUUGCAUUCAUCGUUAUCCAUCCCAUGAACCCCAUGUUCAUUAUUCUUUCUUAAUGUCAAAGCCAUACGGUCCGUUGUAUGCUAAGACCGAUUGAUCAUCGCAACAACAUUGCGUUCAUAGCGUCUAAACGCUUUACACUAAUCUUUAAUUACCAUGACAUAACAUCGAAAUGUUUUUAAUUACCUUCAUCACUCAACGUCUAAGGAAUCACAAUCAUAGCAAUCCCUCACGUUUGUUCAUUACGACUACGGUCCCCGGAUAUUGGUUACGUAAUCUAGCGCUUACAUUCUCUAUCUUUUAAUCUCGUUUUAAUCUUUCCGUUAACCUUUACUAAAGGUUUAACUCACUUGCUUAAGUGUUAUUUUAGGUGAACUACAAGUUCAUAUUUCUUCUUGCACAUCCCCUAGUAAUUGAGAAUUAAAAAUCUCAUUUCUGGGCAUUGCCCUGCACCGGCGCUGCGGCGCCGUGCUCCUUCCUCUCUGUACCCGCGCUGCGGCGCCAAUUAACAAAACCUGAGGCCCGAGCUCGCGCUGCGGCGCUACUUCUCAAAGUCUAUCCGGCGCUGCGGCGCCGAGACAAAACCCUAAAAAAAUUUCUAAGUCUUGCAUUAAGUUUGAGACGCGUACUUUACGAUCUCAUAACUUCUUUGUUAUAACUCAGAAUGAGGUCGUUCCAAAGCCAUUCUCUUCCUUAUCUUAUGUACUUUAAUAUGCCCCAGAUAGAACUUCGUUUUGAAUCCAUUAACAUGCUAUUCAAUUGGCUUAAUCUUAACCCUUCAUUCAUUUUUAUGCUUUUAACGUUCUUCGCUCGCUCGUCCGUAAUUCGAUCAUCCGAACUCGGAACUCGUUCGUUCUUGAGGCCACGACUCACGUUUUCAACAUUCUCUUACUUUCUUAUGAAACCCUACACAUUCAGGUUCAUUUACUAACUUUCUAAUUCUCGUUCGUCUUUUACGAAAAUUUCGCCAUAACUUCGUUAUAGCUAAGUUUUAAUCCAUUCUUCAUGAACGUUUCUACCGUUCCUAACCAAGAAAUAUGAAACUAACUAAUACACGAUGGUUUUAAACUUGUCCAUCAACAACAAUUAUCCUACGAUGGUUUUAAAUUUGUCCAUCAACAACAUUCUUCGUGUUCUUCGCGUGUUCUUCGCGUUCUUCGUUUGUUCUUCAUUUUAAUCGAUAUUUUGGAUUACGAUUCUACUUUUUCUUGGAAUUUGAUGUUAUAGAACAUCAUUCCUUACUUAUUUCACCUACUCAUUCAUAAGAUUCAUUCGGAUCGCUCAAAACCCUUACGAAUCUUAUACUUCCUUAAGAAAUUACAAACUAAACUUCUAAUUCUUAUUUCUUCAUUUUCUCAUGAUUUCAACCAUAUGAAAUCAUUCCUAAAUUCUUUUACUCCUUAUUCUCAUUAAGUUAUGUUUUAACAUAUUAAACUUAAAGAAAAUAUUAGAAGAAAUUAGGGUUCGGAUUACCGUUCUUCUUUAAUCCUCUUCUGUUAUACAAAGCCAGCGAUUCGCUAGCUUUUCUAUUUCACGAUCACUUUUGAUCCGAGCAUUCAUGCUCACGCUCUUCCUCUUCCUCUUCAUCCGAGCUCUCUCUCUCUCUCUCUCUCAAGUUAUAGGAUUUUCAAAAUCCUUGAAAAUGAAAAUCUAGCUUUCUAUUUAUAGAUUUUCAAAGCUUAGGGAAUUUUGGUCAUUUUGCCCCACCUCCUUACUAUUCAUAGCUUAGCCACCAAGUUUACUUAGCGGCCAAGUGGCCGCCCCACAUGCCCCAUGGGUCACCCCAUGGGUUACCCCAAUGGUUAUUACCCAUUAGUUUACCCAUCGGUUCGAUCCGCGGUUUCUUUUCUUAGUUUGGGCCUUAACCCUAAUUCUUAUUGGCCCUAUCUUGGGCUUGAUUUCUCAAAUCAUUGGGCUUGACCUAUUCCAAGUCUAAUUGGAUUCUACAAAGUCCAUGAACACAAAGUCCAUUAAGACUAAUCGCAUUCUACGCAUUCCAUUCUCGUAUUCUCGUAUUCUCUUUAUAUAUCAUUCGUACGAUAUUCGUAUUAUACGUCGUACCAAUCUUCGUACUAUACUCGUAUAAUAACUCGUAUCAUACUCGUAUUUCUCACGCAUAAUAACCCAAAUUAUUAUACGUGAUCCUAAAAUUCUCGGAACUCACUUUUCCAAACCCUUAGGUUUUGAGUCCGCAGGCGAAAACUUUGUUUUUUUCCAUAACUGAAAUAUUAUUGAAUAUUCCAUCACGUCUCAAGAUUAUACGUAAUCAAUAACUUCUUGGAAUUUCAAAAUAAAUCUCCGAGCAUAAAUGGAUGAAUAGUACCUAUUUCGUCUUUUUCCCCGGAAAUAUUUUUGUUCCCGAAAAAUUUUUAUUUUCGUCUUGAAAAUUCUUACUCGUUCAAUCUAGCUCGUAGCCAGAAUCCUCCUGACUUAUAAUCAUCCUAGGUUAUAGAAUGAUUAAUAAACACAUAACACAUAAUAGUAUUAAUAAAAAUUUAUUUUAUUAAUAACUAAUUCUUUAACUUAAAUUCUGGACAAUCCGGUUUUACUUGGGUUGUCACAAGCACAGCAGCUGCCAGCAACAAUAUAUUCAGCUUCUGCAGUUGAAGUAGACACUGAGUUUUACUUUUUGCUAAACCAGGACACAAGUCUAUUUUCUAGAAGUUGACAAGUGCCACUGGUACUCUUUCUAUCUAUUUUGCAUCCUGCAAAUCAACAUCUGUGUAUCCUAUUAGUUCAAAUGAGGAUUCCUUGGGGUACAACAGCAGAUACCUGAAGAUCCUCUUUACAGCAGACAAAUGUGACUCUUUAGGGUUAGCCUGAAAUCUAGCACAUAUGCAUGUUGCAAACAUUAUGUCUGGUCUACUGGCAGUUAGGUAUAAAAGAGAGCCUAUCAUACCUCUGUAUUGCGUGAUAUCAAUACUUUUACCUUUCUCAUCCUUGUCAAGCUUGGUUGCAGGAGCAAUUGGUGUUUUCAUGGGAGAGGCUGAUUCCAUGCCAUACUUCCUCAGUAAGUCUUUGAUGUACUUGGCUUGGUUUAUGAAAAUCCCUUCUUCAGUCUGCUUUACUUGCAGUCCAAGGAAGAAGUUUAGCUCACCCAUCAUGCUCAUUUCAAACUUGCUCUGCAUUAGCUUAGAGAAUCUCUUUCAUAACUUUUCGUCAGUAGAACCAAAGAUAAUGUCAUCAACAUAGAUUUGAACUAGUAAGACUUUGUCUUUAUGCUUUCUAAGAAACAGUGUGGUAUCUACUUUACCUCUAGUGAACCCAUUUUCGAUCAAGAAGUUAGUCAGUGUUUCAUACCAUGCUCUAGGUGCUUGUUUAAGACCAUAUAAAGCUUUAUCAAAUCUAUAGACAUAAUUGGAAAGUGAUGGAUUGAUGAAACUUGGAGGUUGUUCUACAUAGACUUCUUCUUGGAGCUCUCCAUUUAGAAAUGCACUCUUGACAUCCAUCUGGAAGACUUUGAACUUCAUCUGGGCAGCAAAGGCAAGAAAGAUUCUGAUGGCUUCUAGUCUGGCAACAGGUGCAAAUGUCUCAUCGUAGUCGAUACCUGCUUCUUGAGAAUAGCCCUUUGCCACUAAUCUUGCUUUGUUUCUGGUUAUGACCCCAUCUUCAUCCAUUUUUCUUCUGAAGACCCAUUUAGUUCCUAUCACAGGAUGUUCUUUGGUCUUGGUACCAAUCUCCAUACUUUACUUCGUUCAAAUUGGUUGAGUUCUUCCUGCAUUGCUUCUAUCCAGCUAGAGUCUUCCAUAGCAUCCUCUAUCUUCUUUGGCUCUAUUUAUGACAGGAAGCUUAGAUAAAAGCAUUCAUUCUGAGUAGCAGCUCUUGUUUUGACUCUAGCACUCGAAUCUCCAAUGAUUAGAUCCUGAGUGUGAUCUAUUGCCCAUCUGUUGCCGUUUGGGACAUUUGUCCUAAUGCCUUCUUGUCUUAAUUCUUCAAGGUCUAUCUCUUCUUCUUGGAGUGGAGGCUCGCUGUCUUGCAUGGACCUCUCUACGAUCACAUUCUCAUGCUCUACGAUUUCACUAUCUGGUACUACGAUCGUAGUGUUGAGCUCGACGACUUCAUUCGUAGUGUCUGCACUAUCGGUCGUAGUGUUCACUGUUUUGUCUAAGUCAGUUUCAUCAAAGAUGAUGUGUAUUAAGACUUCAACAUUCAGUGUCUUCUUGUUGAAUACCCUGUAAGCCUUGUUGUCUGUGGCAUAUCCAAGAAAGAUCCCUUCGUCUGACUUGGGCUGGAAUUUUGUCAGAUACUGCUUUCCAUUGUUGAGAAUGUAGCAUGAACAGCCAAAGACAUGGAAAUAGCUGACACUUGGCUUUCUUCCUUUCCACAGUUCGUAGGGUGUCUUCUUGAUCGUAGAGUGUAUGAGUGAUCUGUUCUGCGUGUAGCAUGCAGUGUUGAUAGCUUCUGCCCAGAAGUAUUCAGGAAGAUGGGCUACAACUAGUAGAGUUCUUCCAGCCUCUAUCAAGGUUCUGUUCUUUCUUUCAGCUACUCCAUUUUGUUGAGGAGUUCGUGGAGCUGAGAAGUUUUGACUGAUCCCAUUGUCUGUGCAGAACUGAUCCAUUUCUGAGAAAUCGAAUUCUCUGCAAUGAUCACUCCUUAUGGCCUUGAUUUUCUCUCCUUUCUCGUUCAUCACCAGUCUGAACAUCUUGAUUAAUUCGGAGCUCGCUUCAUCCUUUGAAGUUAGGAAGAAUACCCAUGUGAAUCUGGUGUAGUCGUCGACUACGACUAGAGAGUAUCUUUUUCCUCCAAGACUGGUUGUUGGGAUUGGCCCAAAGAGAUCCAAGUGAAGCAACUGCAGUGGCUUGUCAAUAGAGUUGGCAGUCUUGCUCUUGAAUGAGUUUCUGGUCUACUUUCCAAGCUGACAGACAUUGCAUGGCCUUUCCUUCACGAAGUUGAACUUGGGUAGGCCAGCUACUAGGUCUUUUGAUGCCAGUUUGGACAUUCUUUUAAAGUUUAAAUGAGACAACCGUCUAUGCCAUAGCCAACUCAUUUCUUCAGAUGCUUUUGCCAGAAAACAAAUUGUCUCAUCUGAGCUUAGUUGACCAAGAUCCACUGUGUAGACAUUUCCUUCUCUUGUCCCGGUUAGCUUUACAGAAGAUGUCUUCAAAUCUCUGAUAUGACAUUGGUUAUUGAGGAAUGUCACUUGAUGACACUUGUCACAGAGUUGGCUGAUACUUAGAAGGUUGUGUUGAAGACCUUCCACAUAGGCUACUUUGCUGAAAGAUACUGCACCAUUACCAGCAGAGCUUCCAUUGUUUUUUCCACAUAGGCAUUACUAGUGCUAGUUUCCAUUGUUUUUUCCACACAAGGCUCUGAGAUGAAUUCCCCAAAGCCUAGACCUGUUCUGUUGAAUGUGCUUCACUGACUAUAGAGUAGGCAGUCCAUGGACGAUGAGGAUUUGUUCCAUGCAGAGAUAGUCUUCUCUAGCUCCUCAACUUUAGAGGUAAGAAUAGACUCUCUUUGUGCAUUGAGUGUGUUUGUCUGUUUUAAAGUUUCAUUCUCAGCCUCAAGCUUGGAAAGAAGAUUAGUACUUAGAAGGGCUAUUUCAAGCUCUUCUUGAACUUUCUUCUUCUCCUCUUGAAGAAGUGAAUGAUCUUUAGACAAAACUCUGAACCACUUCAUGUAUUGAUGUAGAUCAGUGGUUAUGCCAUGCAGUGUAGUUCUUAAGUAAUUCAUGUCUACAUCAGGUGAGUUGAAAUCAAAUACCUCGUCGAGACUUACAUUAUGUAUGUUGAGGCUUUGUUUGUCCUUUGCAUGUUUGGCCAUUAAGCACAGAUUGGCCAUUUGUGGUUCUUCUUCAUCUCCGGAGUCAGCGUUUGAGUCAUUAUCUGAAUCACUCCACGAUCCUCCAGCUACCAGGCCUUUGUCUCUUUUCUAAGGCCUCUUAUUUCCUUUGUAUUCCUUCUUUGCAUGUGUUUUCUUCUUUAGUUAUUCUUUGAUAGGUUUGUUGUAGUUGGCGAUGAAGUGGCCAGGCUUUUUGCAGUUGUAGCAUAGGUCAUUCAUUUGCUCCUAACUGCUGUAAUUGCUGACCUUCUUUGGCUUGCUGAUUUUGCCUUGUCGCAUGAACCUUCUUAGUCUCUUUACCAGCAUAGCAAAGUCAUCAUCAUCGUCUUCAUCAUCAUCAGAGUCAAUCUCAGUGUUGACCUUUGAUGCACUUUCAGUUGCCUUGAGAGAAACAUCCUUAUCCUUCCUUCUUCCUUCUGAUAAGGUUUCAGCACAUUGGGUUAGCUCCAGUUCAUAUGUCAGGAGAUUGCCAUAUAGUUAUUGAACUGUCAUCUCGUUGAGAUUCUUUGACUCUCUUAUUGCAGUGGUCUUGGCAUCCCACCUACUUGGUAGGGCUCUCAUGAACUUUAUGGUCAGAUCUUUGUUAGGAUAGACCUUUCCAUAUGCUCGUAGAGAGUUGAGCAAGCCGUUGAAUCUUUCAUAGGUGGCAGUUAUAUUUUCUCCUUGCACAUGAGCGAACAUUUCGUAUUGCUGUGUUAGAAGAGACUGUUUUGUUCUCUCUAACUUCUUCAGUUCCUUCGUGCAUGAUCAGCAGUGCUUCCCAAACUUCCUUAGUUGUUUUGCUGUUUACAACAUUUUCAAAUAGAUCGUCCUCUAAGGAUUGGAACAGGAUGUUCUUAGCCUUCUUAUCAAGUUGAACAACUUUCUUCUCUGUGUCUGUCCAUUCUUCUUUAACUUUGAGUUGAACUCUGUUUGGAUCUUCAUUGUUUGGUGCAAGCUUUGUUGGUAUAUAAGGCCCAUUUUGAACGGUCUCAAAUAGAUCUUCAUCUAUUGAGUCCAUAUAUGCUUGCAUCUUGACUUUCCAGUUAGCAAAUUUAUCCUUUUUGCACAUUGGUGGCUUGCUGCCUCCCCCGGUCCUGGAUUCGCUUGGUACGAGUGCCAUUGGAUCUACUAAAGCUUGUAAGCUAUAAAAUAGAACCUGCUCUGAUACCAAUUGUUAGUUCCUAGUUGGCACAAUAGUUAUCUAGAAGGGGGGUUGAAUAGAUAUUUAAAAAUCUUUUCGUUUUAAACUUGUUCUUUGAUAAUGAUUAAAACUUAGCGGAAUAAAUGUUUGUUUUAAUCUUCUUUACCAAGCAAUGGAGUAAUGAGGGUGAGGCAGUUAUGGCAGUUAUAACAGAUAUAGCAGUUAUGAUAUGAAUGUAAAUGACACAAUCCUUUUUAAGUGGUUCAGAGCACUUAAAGCUCCUAGUCCACUCUUCUACUCAACGAGUAGGAUAUCCACUAAGGAUGUCUGUUACAACUUCUGAAUCACACAGAUUCCUUCUAGACCAGCAGUCUAGGAACUUCUUAGUUCACUCUUGAACUCUUCAAGUUCAGCAGACUUGGCUUUCUUACAGUUCACUACGAACUCUUCAAGUCCAGCAGACUUGGUACUCUUCUUUAGUUGGUUGAUAAUGUUGUGUUCUUGAUGGUUGCUACUCAGUUGCUGUGUAAGCACUUGUUCUAAAGAACUGAGUAGCUGAGCAAGCUUUGCAAUAUCUCAGGUCGUAGAGUUGAGCUUGAGAGAGAUGUUCACGUUGUUUGUUCAAUGCUUGCUUAGUUCUCUCUCAUCUAUCUGAUCUGCAUAUAUGUGAUCUUGAAAACUACAUGUUGGAUUCAUCCGUUGAGGCAUUAAAUGCAUUUGACUUUUCUGAUCUUUGAUGGAGACAUUUCUGCACAUCUUCUAAAACCGCAUUCUGGCCCACUAACACAGCAGACUGCUUUCUCACCUAACACCUGAAAAGGUGUUUUGUCCCUCUUACCCAUGGUACUAUCCUUAGCUUCUUCAAUACGCUUCUUUGUUGUAUACUAAGGAUAUUUCAUAUACUCUGGGACUGAUGAGUACUGCAGCAUCUAGAAUCCAUUCCUCAUAUGUUGAAAUCUACCUUUACACAAAUCAUGAGGCUCGACGUUUUCUGACAUAAGACAAAGGCUCUACGAUUCAGAUCAUGAUAAUUUACUAUUCAGAUCGUAGUGAAUUGUUGCCUUAGUGCUUGAUCUGAUGCUAUCAUUUAGAGAGCACUACGAUUUCUCUUAAACCCUUGCACACUACGAUCUUUACUUGCUCGUGUUGUUGACUCUACGUUCCCGAGAGCACACUACGAUCGUUGACUUGUAAACUCCAUGUUUCCUUCAGCACACUACGAUCGUGGAGUUGGUUCGGCAAACGUUGGGACCACUCUACGAUUUUCGAAGAGUCCCUUCAAGGCGGGUACACUACGAUCUUUGAAGCUCUACGUUUCUGCCUUGACUUCUUUAAUGUUGAUCAGAUGAUACACUACGAUUUCUUCGAAGCCUAUCUAUUACAUCUCAAGAUCAACCUAACAGCUUUGAUCUUUCUAUCUAUACAUUCCAUUACAAAAUGAUACACGUUAAGAUCUUAGAUCAACCUAACAAAUUUGAUCUAUCACUAAGUCCUUGUACAUAUCUUUCUUGGAAGGACUUUACAAAUAAUCAUGAGCAUAUACAUUAAAACAUCAAAUCAUAAUAUGCAUUCUCCCAACAACGUGUAUAACACUUCGGUUAUUAUACGUAUGAUAGACGAGUAUAGUACGAAUAACGAUACGACGUAUAAUACGAAUAUCGUAUGAAUACUAAGUGACAAGAAUACAUAAGUUAUACGCAUAGAAUACGAUUAGUUCUUAUAGGAUUUUUAGUUAAGGACUUUGUACAAUCCAAUGGGAAUUGGAUUAAUAGCAAGCCCAAUGAAGUAUGGAAUCAAGCCCAAGUUAAGGCCCAAUGUUAAAUAAGACAAGCCCAAUCCAAGAAAACUGAACCGCGGAUCGAACCGGCGGGUCACGGGAUGGGUAAAAACCCAUGGAGGUGUGGGUUGGCCACUUGGCCACCAAGUAAAGUGAUUACUUGGUGGCUAAUUUGUGGAGGAGGUGGGAAUAGUAAGGAGGUGGCAUUUGGACCAUUUUGCCCUCCUUUUGAAAUCCUAUAAAUAAAGAGCUUAGCUAGUUCAUUUGGUAGUUUGCCAGUAUUAGCUAACAUAUAUUGAGAGAGAGAAAGAGCUAGAAACACAUAAUCAAGCUACUUCCAAGAAAAACAUAAGAGGUUUACCAAGAACGCGAAGAACGACAAAGGUAAUAUUUUCGUAAACAUUAGUCUUCAUCUUUUUUGAUUUCUUUCUCGUAGAGAAUCAUGAAUUGGUGGAGCAUGUUUAGUGAGGAGGAAUAAGGAUGACUAUUAAUAAUGAAAACAUUAAUAAGUCAUGAUCAAAUAGAAAUCGUAAGUGUUUACGUAAGUUAAAACCGUAGAAAGUGAUGAACGUUAACUUAGUUGUGAAUGGACGAUUUGAAAACCAUCAUAGCUAGGGUAUGUGCAUAUUGGUUGGUUAGGGUGUAGAUGAUGAAUCAAUGGAUUGUUCCAUUUGAUUAGGCUUAUAGAACACGAGUAACGAAGUUAUGGCAAAUUUUGCGAAAAAUAGACGUUAAACGUCAAAAUUGUAGAAAUCUCGGAUUAAGAGUCAAAAGUUGUCGUGUGACUUGGAAACUUCAGUUUUUAAUGUCAACACGUGAGAUAGGGUAUUCAAGAGUCGUGGACUCGAUAAUCAUCGAAUUCUGACUUAUAACGAAGAAAACGAGUAUUGAACGCUCGAAAACUAUAAACGAACGCUCAAAAUGAACCAAAAGGUAUAUUUCGAGUUAACGGAUUCGAAAAUGUAAAAUUCAUACAUGAACAGCUAGAGUAUGUAAUUUGUGAGUUGUGGGCUUUUGAAUGAGUCAAUUCAGAUGUAAAACGAAUAAGUUAUGAAGCCGAAAAUUUUGUUGGAAAAACCAACUAUCAAAACUAACUGAUGAACAGGGGUGGCGCCGCAGCGCCAAACCCAGCAUAAAGGGCCACGCCAGACCCGAGCUCUGUCCCUGUUAACUGGCGCCGCAGCACCAAAGAUAUAAAAGAGUCUGGCACCGCAGCGCCGACAGUGUAGAAUAGUUGACCAAGUUAGGUUUUUAAUUCUAUUUGAAUGUAAACCAAAGGUAAGACAUGAAUGUACUUAAUGUACAUGAUGGGGCUGACUUUAAAUCACUUAUAAACUGAUAACGUUAGAAGAUUAGAUAUGGUUUAAACGAAGAACGCAAGAGUGUAAUAAGUAAAAUUGUGAAUGGUGUUCAAUAUUGGUAUCUCACCAAUGAUCACUGAGUAUCGGUUAAUAACGUAAGAAUGUUAACGAGCCAUAAUGAAGUAUGGUAAGUGGAAUUGACAUUACUAAUGGAAUAAAUUCAAGUAAGACAUAGAAGAGAAAGAAGUUGAUUAAAACAAAUAAAGUAAAUUUGUUUGGUAGCUAAUUACAGUGUGCUAUGUGAAUAUAUCAUGUAGAUCCUGUAAAGACUGAGAAUUAUUGAAUAGUAUAUUCAAAGACGCUUGAAGGCAAGUUUUCUUAACGCUUGUCUAACCUCCGCGUUAUUCAAGUUUUCUAUAAUUCAUGUUCUGCAAUGCAUGAAUGGUUUUAAAGAAAAAGUCGAUGCCUGUUUUAACUCGGCUAGACUAAUCUUAAAAGUUAGAUUGAUUUGUUUACAAGUCUUUCGAUAUAGAACUGUUAACGAUAUCAUAUGCCAAGUAUUUGGUACGGAUGUAAAGGUAAGUUUGUUUAAGAACAAAUAGAAGUAUUUUCAUCGAUUAUUCGAUGGGCACACGAGGUUGCCAAAACUUAAACGUAAAUACGUUUAACGGAUGAGUGUUGAUCAACAUAGAGUACUAUAGGCUGAUCACCUAGAAGUGCUCGUAAGUAAUGCCGGAUGCACGGCCUUAGUGCCGGAUGUCCUUUUUAAGUGUGAAAAUGAAAAGAGUAUGUCCAUGGUCUUUUGACCGAUUCAUAAUUCAUAAGCUAUUAUAUAUACGUUGAAAUCAUUGUUAUGAAAUUAGAAGUACUAGUCAAAUGUUUCAUAGUGCUUUAUAGCUAUUUGUUCAGUUAUGGAAAAUAAUCAUAUAAUUCUCGAUGUGGUAUUCAUAUGAUCCUUUGUUAGACUUGCUGAGCUAGUUAUGCUCACUUCUUGCUUGAAUUAUAUGAUUGCUGCUAAAGUCGAACGAACUGAGAGUUCUAAGAGAGAUAAGGGCAAGGCUAAGAUGGGUAGUUGAUUAUCCUAUAAUAUACUAGAGUAUUUGUAUGUAAUAUACUUAUGAAUAACAAAGAAUGUAUUCGGUUUAUAAACCUGGGAAAGGAUUUAUUACUAUUGUAAUACGAAUAUAGUGAAUACGAUCAUUUUGUUGUUAUCUCAAUGGAAAGACUAUAUGAAUUAUAGUAUCGUGUAGCACCAUCUGUUAGGUUGGAAGAUACUCGAAUUUGGGGGCGUCACAGGUUUGUAUCAAAGUAUUAGGUUAUAAAACUUAAGGGGGGAAAGAACUUUAGGCUAAUAACCUCGUUAGGAAAGGAAAGGUCCGAAAAAAGUUAACUCGAGUCAAAUGAGUUAAUAAGGUAUUGAGGAAACUCAGUACCGAAAGAUUUAAAAGAUGAAAAUUAACCCUAAAUGAAUUAAAUGUGAUUUGUGCUUAUAAUAUUGUGUAUUAUGUAAUAAUCAACUUGUUAUGUGUUAUUGUAGAUGUCAAUCGAUAGCUUGAUGUAUAGAGAUAUACAUGUGGUGAGCGAGGAGUCUGUGAACAGAGUAGAGCCAAUACCUAUGCCUGUAGCGGAAAUACCAUUAGUGAUUCUAAAAGAAUCAGAGCCAGAGGGGUAUUUUCCAGAGGAAGACUAUUCUGAGGAGACUAUGGGAUUAGCAUCAUAUCUUAAUAUGAUGAUAGAUGUGGAGGAUUAUAUGGAGGUAACAUUGGUUAAUACGGUGAUGCCUGCAUUAGAGUCAACACCUACAGAUACGAUGAGUACAAUGUAUCUCUCGGUGCUUGACCGUAACGUGCAACUGCACAAUAUGGUGCAGAACCAGAAGGAGGAGAUCAGUGAUCUCUGUGGGGUCAAGGAGUCUGCCGAAUCAGACUUUGAGAUAGAGCAUGAUGAGAAGGUUCUCAUGAUAGAUAAGGCCAGAGACUAUAAGAAUGAGGUCGUAGAACUUCGUAAGAAACUGAUUGAGAAAGACCAGAAAAUAACGCGAAUGUCAUAUAUCAAUGACAGUGCGCAUGAGGAUUUCAAGCUGAAAAUAGCUUGUUAUUCUAUUGAGUCGGGAUAGACUCGACAUACUAUAAGUCGAGAUAUCGUGUCGAUUCUAGUAAAUGAGAAGCAUGAGAAUGUUGUUAGGCAGUAUUAGGAGUAUAAUGGUAAAUAUUUUUGUGUAGUCAUGUAAAACCCUCUUUUAUUUAAUUAUAGGGUUGUCUUUUUGUAAAUCCCAAUUUUUGUGAAAGUCAAUCGCGGGAUAUAAAUGUAAUAGCUUUGGGAUAUGGAAAGCAAAAUGUAAAUAGUCUUGAACUAUGAAGAAGCAUAUUAAUAUAAUGAAGUUUUUUUAUGUGCUUUGUUGUGUAUGAGUUAUUGUUCAGCUGUUCAGCGACUAAUAACUAAGUAAUCAAAUAAGUAAUAAUGGAACUUUAUUUAUUUAAUCAGAAAUGCCGCCAAGAAGAAGACAACAUAAUCAAGAGGCGAAAUCGCAUAACAAUAAUCAGGGGGGGUCCGAAUAACCCUAUGCAAGAGUUCGUUAAUUUAUUAACGGCUGCAUUUAACGAAAUCGGGGGUAGAGCACCCACGGGACCUAGGGUAGCCAGAACAACUACCUUUAAGAAAUUUAAAAGUGUAGGUCCCCCUGAGUUCAAGGGAAUGACGGACCUAAUGGAGGCCCAGACAUGGGUCAAGGAAAUAGAGAAGGCGUUUGUUAUUACAAACAUAACUGAGGCGCAAAAGAGUUCUUUUGCGACUUACAUGAUGAAGGGGGAAGCUAACUAUUGGUGGGAGGCUCACCAGGGUGGGGCUAGAGCUGAUGAUGUUACAUGGGAAUAGUUCAAGAAGGUAUUCUUUGAGAACUACUUCCCUACUAGCAUGCAAGGGCGAAUGGAGAUUAAGUUCCUGGAACUUAAGCAAGGGGACAUGACGGUUCCCCAAUAUGCGGCCAAAUUCAAUGAAUUGGCAAGGUUUGCUCCACACCAAGUGGACACGGAGGAGAGAAAGGGGUUUGAGCAGGGUCUGAAACCCUGGCUCUAUAGUAGGAUUUUGGUUUUUCAGAGUGCUUCCUAUGGGACCAUUCUGGAAAAGGCGAUAAUAGCAGAGGGUGGUAGUGAGGCAUUGACCCAAUACCACAAAGAAAGAAAGAAUAAGAGUAAAGGAGAGGGAGGAACAAAGGCAGAGGGUGACAGUGGGAGCGGCAGUGUGCCGAAAAGGAAAAGUUUUAACUCCUGGAAUACUAGGGUGAAACAAGGGGAUCCUAAAUGUAGGAUGGAGGCAUGUAAGACAUGCGGGAAGACUCAUCUGGGAUUCUGUCUGAAGGGAAAAUCAGGUUGUUAUAAUUGUGGGCAGGAGGGUCACAUAUCACCCAACUAUCCUAAUCCUAAGAAAAACCAUGGUUGUUUUGUUUGUGGGUCGUUGGACCACAUGGCAAGAAAUUGCCCGAAGAAGGGGUUAGAGGGUAGUAAGGGUUCUAGUAGUGGUAAGUUAGAGAUUACUGGACCAACACCAUCAUUGGGUAGACCCUCAGCCCGAACAUUUAAUAUAACUGUCCAAGAUACGGUUGCAUCAGCGGAUGUAGUAGCAGGUAUCAUUCCAGUCAACGAACUAAAUGCUUAUGUGCUAUUUGACUCGGGUGCUACUUGUUCUUUUAUAGCAUGUGGAUUUGUUAAGCAACUAGGAUUAAACCCUGAAAAGCUAGAAAUACCGUUAGACGUUAAGGUAGCAAACGAAGAUAAUUCCCAUUGAACACAUUCAUAAGAAUUAUUUCGUAGAUAUUAGAGCUAACAGAUUAUCGGUAGAUCUUUUAUUGAUAUGGUUGAGAGAAUUCAAUGUAGUUCUCAGUAUGGAUUGGUUAAUUAAACCAUAGAGCGAUAAUUGAUUGUCAUAGAAAGAGUGUAAACCUAAGGCUUUCUAAGAAACCUGAGGUGGUGUUUUAUGGUAACAAAUCACUGGGACGCUCGUGUUGUCUAACCAUGACCCAAGCUAGGAAGAUGUUGAAGAAGGGGUGUAAGGGUUAUCUGUGUCAUGUUGUGGAUACCCAAAGAGUGGGAGCAACAUUAGAACAGAUACCGGUGGUACAAGAUUUCGCGGAUGUAUUUCUGGAGGAGUUACCCGGUAUUCCGCCAGAUAGAGAUAUAGAAUUUGUGAUUGAUUUGUUAUCGGGUACGACACCAGUUUCAAAGGCACCAUAUAGGAUGGCGCCAGUAGAGAUGAAGGAGUUAAUGGAUCAAUUACAGGAACUAUUAGAUAAAAAGUACAUUCAACCGAGUGUGUCUCCGUGGGGAGCACUGAUAUUGUUUGUAAAGAGGAAGGAUGGGUCGUUACGACUUUGUAUCGACUAUCGAGAGUUAAACAAGUUAACGAUUAAGAAUAAAUACCUUUUGCCCAAGAUCGAUGAUCUAUUUGAUCAGUUGAAAGAGGCAAAGUGUUUUUCUAAGAUAGAUUUGCGUACAAGGUAUCAUCAACUAAAGGUAAGGAAGGAAGAUGUACCUAAUACAACGUUCAGAACUCGUUAUGAGCAUUACGAGUUUCUGGUGAUGUCGUUUGGGUUGACGAAUGUGCCAGCCGCAUUCAUGGAUAUGAUGAACAGAGUGUUCAAACAGUAUUUGGAUAAGUUCGUAGUAGUGUUCAUUGAUGAUAUUCUAGUGUAUUCUAAGACGCCAGAAGAUCAUGCUGAACAUUUAAGAAUAGUGUUGAAAAACCUACGGAGAGAGAAGUUGUAUGCGAAAUUCACUAAGUGUGAAUUUUGGCUUGAACGAGUGCAGUUUUUAGGACAUGUUAUAGAUAAAGAUUGCAUGUUCGUAGAUCCAGCGAAGGUGGAAACGGUAAAUGAGUGGGAGAAACCAAAAACACCUACCGAGGUUCAGAGUUUUCUGGGGUUAGCGGGAUACUAUAGAAGAUUCAUACAGAAUUUUUCUAAAAUAGCUACUCCGUUGACAAAUCUGACAAGGAAGUCAGUAAAAUAUGUGUAGACGGAAAAGUGUGAAAAUAGUUUUCAACAACUAAAAUGAGGUUAAGUGAGGCACCUGUAUUAUCCUUACCGGAUGAUACAGGAAAUUUUGUAGUAUAUAGUGAUGUUUUGCAUAGAGGACUCAGUUGCAUGCUCAUGCAGCAUGGCAAGGUCAUUGCGUAUGUGUCACACCAGUUAAAGGAUUAUGAGAAGGUCUAUCUUACUCAUGACCUAGAAUUGGCAGCUGUAGUUUUUGCCUUAAAAAUAUGGAGACAUUAUUUAUACGGGGAAAAGUGUGAGAUAUACAUGGACCAUAAAAGUCUGAAAUAUAUCUUCACACAGAAGGAGUUGAAUAUGAGGUAGAGGAGGUGGUUAGAGUUGAUAAAAGAUUACGACUGUGAUAUCUUAUAUCAUCCGGGAAAAGCGAACGUAGUAGCCGACGCGUUAAGUCGGAAGGGUAGGGAAAAGCAAUAUUAUCGACUCAGAAUGAGUUAAUAUCAGAGAUGGCAAGGAUAAAGUUAGAAGUCAAGUUGCCAAGUGAAAUGGUAGAGAUGUUAUUUUUAAUAGAAACUCAACCAACGAUAGUGGAACGGGUAAAGGAAGUACAAAUAGGUACUGAAGAAUGCAAGCGAAUGAAAAAGCUAAUGAAGGAUGACGUGAAGACUAAGUAUAACCUUGAUAGGGAAGGUUUACUUCGUUUUGAAGGAAGAAUUUGGGUUCCAAAUAAUUCUGAGUUAAAAGAAGAGAUUAUGUGUGAGUCUCAUAGUUCGAGGUACUCGAUACAUCCUGGUAGUACUAAGAUGUAUCAAGACCUUCGUCAGAACUUUUGGUGGCCGAACAUGAAGAGGGAAAUUGCAGAAUACGUUAGUAAGUGCUUAACUUGUCAGAAAGUUAAGGCUGAACACCAAUGACCGAGUGAGUUAUUGCAAUCACUAGAGAUUCCAGAGUGGAAAUGGGAGCAUAUCACCAUGGAAUUUGUGGUGGUACUUCCAACAACAAGAAAAGGAUACGAUGAUAUUUGGGUAAUAGUGGGUCGGUUAACCAAAUUGGCUCACUUUCUACCAAUAGGAGUUAGGUAUAACCUAGACCAACUAGCUAAACUUUAUGUUAAGGAAAUUAUUACUAAACAUGGAGUACCUAUUUCGAUUGUGUCCGAUCGUGAUCCACGAUUCACGUCGAACUUUUGGAGGAGUUUGCAAGAGCAAAUGGGAACUCAAUUAAGAUUGAGUACGGCGUAUCAUCCACAAACGGAUGGACAAAGUGAACGGACAAUUCAAAUGCUAGAAGAUAUGCUAAGAUCUUGCGUUAUGGAUUUCAAGGGGAGUUGGGACGAACAUCUACCUUUUGUGGAAUUCGCUUACAACAAUAGUUUUUACGCUAGUAUAGGCGAGCCGCCUUACGAAGCAUUGUAUAGGAGGAAGUGCAGAACACCACUUUGUUGGGAUGAAGUAUGUAAACGUUGAAUGUUGGGACCGGAGAUGGUAAAACUAACGGUAGACAUGGUUGAGCUAAUAAGAACCUGAUUGGUAGCGGCUCAAGAUAGACAAAAAAGUAUGCAGAUCCUCAUCGAGAGAAGAGAGAGUUUGAUGUAGGUUCAUAUAUCUUUCUAUAAAAAUCACCUUGGAAAGGGAAGAUACGUUUUGGGAAGAAAGGGAAGUUAAGUCCAAGGUCUGUAGGACCUUUUGAAAUUUUAAGAAAGGUAGGAGAUGUAGCUUAUGAAGUAGCUUUACCUCCAGAGAUGGAAAGAAUACACAAUGUGUUUCACGUGUCAGUGUUGCGUCCCUAUAAACUGGACUACAGGCACGUAAUAAAGUAUGAAUCCAUUCAAAUAGAAAAAGACUUAGCGUAUGAAGAACUUCCAAUUCUGAUUAUUGAUAAGAAGGAACAAGUCUUAAGAAAUAAAAUAAUACCUUCAAUAAAGGUAAUUUGGAGUAACCACAAUGCCGAAGAAGUAACGUGGGAGCUUGAGAGUAAAAUGAAGGAAAAGUUUCCUCAGUUGUUUAUGUAAUUAUAGCGAGAUUCUGGGGACAGAAUCCUUAUAAGGAGGGAAGAAUGUAACGCCCGUGAUUUUUGGAUUUUGAAUGAAUUAAAUUUUUAUUUGAUUAUGUGAAUUAAAUGAAUUUAAUUGAUUUAUUAUGUGGGUAAGAUGUUUGAAGGCCGUUCUAUGACCUAGAAAGUGUAGAUGGGGUUAGUAUUCUGGCUAUGUGUUAGGAUUAAUUGUUUUGAAUUAUCAAGACGAAAAUAAAGGUUUUUCGAGAAUUUUUCUGUAAAAACACUAUUCAUCCGAUUUUGCUCGGAGAUUAGGUUUGAAAUUCCAAGAAACAUGUAAUGAUAGAAUAUGAAGAUAUAAUGGAAUAUCCAAUAAUAUUUCGAUUAUGGUAAACAAAGUUUUCGCUUGUGGACUUAAAACGUAAGGGUUAAUUAAAGUGCUUUCCGAAAGGGAAAUGAAACGUGUAUAAUCACUUCAGUUAUUAUACGUAUGAUAGACAAGUAUAGUACGAAUAACGAUACGACGUAUAAUACGAAUAUCGUAUGAAUACUAAGUGACAAGAAUACGUAAGUUAUGUAACGAUCGAGAAAUUUGUAAUUUAAUUUAAAUAUUUAUUGAAUUAAAUAAAUAUUUUAAAUAAUUUAUUUAUUAAGGGCACUAAAUAAUUGAUGAAUUGUGGUGAAUUAAUUUAGUAACUAAAUUAAUUAAUGUUAAUUUAAUUGAAUAAUGAUGAUGUUAUUUGAAGGAUUUAAUUUAAAAAAUAAUUAAAUUAAAUCAAUUGCUUAAUAUUUAAGAAAAAUAAUUAAAUUAAAUGAAUUGUUUAAUUUAAAGGAAAUAAAUAAAUUAAAUAAAGUGAUGUGUCUAAUUUAUUAAUUAAAUUGGAUAUAUAAUUAUUUAUUAAUUAUAAGUAUAAUGAUAAUAAGAAUUUUAUUAUUAUUAUAUAAGUUAUUUAAAUUAACUAAACUAAGUUAUUUAAAUUAAUCAACUAAAGGUGUGACAUGAAAACUAUAUAGUAUAAAUAAUAUAAAAAUAAAUUAGUUUAGGGAAAUAUGUGGUAGCCAAACAAGGCCUUGUGGCCCUUGGCUUAUUCUAACUAACGCGAACCUUUUUGUGUUUUUACCUGACGUUAGUGGGAGUCAGUUUAUUAUAAUUCCUACGCGUCUAUUGUUCUAAGGCUAAGUUCAGUGAGAAGGAGAAAUAACAGAGAGUGUUGAGAGAAAGCUUGGAAGAGAGAAUCACAGUGAUAUCAAGUGGAAGAGAAGGGUUUGCUAAUUGGUUUGCUAAUCAAGGUAUAAACUAUAUCCAUUCUAACUCUUAGUUUUGAUAUAUAUAUAUAUAUAUGUAUAUUUAUAUAUAUAUAUAUAUUUUAUGUGAUUGGAAAUCACGUGAAUUGUGAUAGAUAUAUGUUCAUAUAGGUUUGCAAAACUCUGUUAAUCAUCAUGUAUGCUUGUUAUUUGUUAUCAAAUUCGUGUAAAUUUGAGUGUAGGAAGAAAAUGAAAUAACAAUGUUUAUGUUCUUAUUAUAUGGCUUAGUAAGUACAAAAAUUGAUUCUCUAUAUGUGUAAUAAUCUGUAGUUUGUUAUUGGAUUAUGUUAAUAUGUUAAGAAACGAAAACAACGAAGUUUAAAUCAUGUCAAUUGAUUAAGAAACGAGUUCGUGGCAAUCAAAUUCGUUAAAAGUGUAAAAAUGAAGAACAUUUGGAAAAACUAUGGUUUUGAUUCCUCAAAAUGGUGUGUAUAUAAUGUUUUGUAUAUAGAAUGGUGUUUAACAUGUAUAACUAUAGUAUGUCAAAGUUUUAGAUGUUGAAGUGUGGUGAAACUCUGUAAGAUUGGGAUUUUUUUACCCAAAGCAGAGUCUGUUUUUGAGGUUCUGCAAAACUGAGUCUGGUGUAUCGUACGGGCGCGCGAUAGCCUAGUGUAUUACUCGCGCGGCCGCGCGAGUAGCCAGUCACAGACAGUGAAGUCUGCUUAAUUACAGGUAAUGCGUAACGGACUUGGGUUAGUUUUGCAUGCAUGUAAAGGAUGUUAAAACAUAAAGUGGACUACAAUAACAUAUUGUAAUGUGUUGUAAUGCAAAGUGUAAAAGAGUUUUAGGUGAUUGUUAAUUGAAUUAUAUAAUGAAACUAAAAGUGAUGUUUUCAAUAGUUAAAGAUGAACGGUUAGGCUAUGUUGGCUCGUAAUGAGAUUUCAGAUUCAUUAAGUAUGUUAACCAACAUGGUUAAAUGUUAAGUUAAGGUUAUAACCUAAAUGAUGGGUUAAACCCAUAAAGCUAAUAUUCAUAUAAUUAAUUGUUGUUGCGAUUUCAAUGAUAUGUGUAGGGUAAUUGGAGAUUAUUUUACGUUUGUGUAGCUUACAAUCAAGGCGAGUUCCUAAACCUUAACUCCUUACAAUUGAGCAAGCUUUCUAACUUCAUUCUUUUCAUAAUUGAAUGCAAGUUUUUAUUCUUAUAUUAUUAUUGUACAAGUUUUUAAAAUUGAGUAAGCCUAAUCUAUCUUGAAUAUGUUUGUAUAAGCUCUUGUAACCUGAUUCGUUACCUCGAGCGAGUUUUACUUUUCUAAACCUUGAAGUUAUUAUUCAAAUCACAUAUUGUUCUAAUACAUCGAUUCAAAUGAGAUUGUUCUAACUCUUUUGAGCAUAGUACUUUGCAUGUGUAUUAUGUUUAUCCAGUUAUAUAUUGUUAAUAUCCGAUCUUUGACUUUGAUAGCCUUGUUCAGUUAUACAUUCUUGUAUUAAACCUUUAUUGAUGGAAAUUGAAUAAGUGUUCUAAAAUUCUAGAAACACUGAUAAGCUAGUUCCAAACUAAACUUUCUUUAGUGCGGAAAUUCUAAAUUCAAACUGAGACGAACAACCUUAACAUAGGGGAUUUUGUACGUGUAACAUUUAGAUGUUUGUGCACAAUACAUGGUAUAAAGGACUGAUCCCCGUAAGUACGUUAAUAAGAGUCUGUACGGUCUAAUGAUUGUUAAGGUUAAGGUAAUAAUACCUAAACACCGUGGACAUAGUUCGUGGUCUUAAGACCCUCAGAUAAUUAAAAGUUCGAACUUGUUUUAUAUUUUGAGUCAUAGAACAAAUUCUUUAUUGUUCACUCUCAUGUUGUUAUUAUACUAUCUUUAUGUCAGUGAGCAAUUGUUUGCUCACUCUUGCAAUUAAACGAUGCAUCUAAAGUCGAAAAAGGUGAUGAGCCAUCUACUAGCGAGGGAAAGGGCAAGAUGUCCAAGUGUUGAAGAAUUAAUUAAAGUUUAUUUAAAUGCAUGAAGUUAUAAGACUUGUUUUAUUUGAUAAUGUAUUCUGCAAACUGAUGUAAUAAUUUAAGGUUAGAUUACCUGGGAUUGUUAUGAGAUGAUGUAACCCUUUAAUGGGAAAGAUUAUUGUUUAAAGUUAUUUAAUUUUUUAUCCUUUAUUAUGGGUAGUUAGAUGAAAUUAUUUUGAUAGUGAGCACUAAAUUCUGCGGAAAUGAAGUACCCGGAUUUGGGGGUGUCAUAAGUUAUACGCGUAGAAUACGAUUAGUUCUUAUAAGAUUUUGAGUUAAGGACUUUGUACAAUCCAAUGGGAAUUGGAUUAAUAGCAAGCCUAAUGAAGUAUGGAAUCAAGCCCAAGUUAAGGCCCAAUGUUAAAUAAGACAAGCCCAAUCCAAGAAAACCAAACCGCGGAUCAAAUCGGCGGGUCACGAGAAGGGUAAAAACCCAUGGGGCAACCCAUGGGAAGACCCAUGGAGGUGUGGGCCAACCACUUGGCCACCAAGUAAAGUGAUUACUUGGUGGCUAAGUUGUGGAGGAGGUGGGAAUAGUAAGGAGGUGGCAUUUGGACCAUUUUUCCCUCCUUUUGAAAUCCUAUAAAUAAUGAGCUUGGCUUCAUUUGGUAGUUUGCCAAUAUUAGCUAACAUAUAUUGAGAGAGAGAAAGAGCUAGAAACACAUAAUCAAGCCACUUCCAAGCAAAACAUAAGAAGUUUACAAAGAACGCGAAGAACGACAAAGGUAAUAUUUUUGUAAACAUUAGUCUUCAUCUUUUUUGAUUUCUUUCUCGUAGAGAAUCAUGAAUUGGUGGAGCAUGUUUAGUGAGGAGGAAUAAGGAUGACUAAUAAUAAUGAAAACAUUGUUAAGUCAUGAUCAAAUAGAAAUUGUAAGUGUUUACGUAAGUUAAAACCGUAGAAAGUGAUGAACGUUAACUUAGUUGUGAAUGGACGAUUUGAAAACCAUCAUAGCUAGGGUAUGUGCAUAUUGGUUGGUUAGGGUGUAGAUGAUGAAUCAAUGGAUUGUUCCAUUUGAUUAGGCUUAUAGAACAGGAGUAACGAAGUUAUGGCGAAUUUUGCGAAAAUAGACGUUAAACGUUGAAAUUGUAGAAAUCUCAGAUUAAGAGUCAAAAGUUGUCGUGUGACUUGGAAACUUUGGUUUUCAAUGUCAAAAUGUGAGAUAGGGUAUUCAAGAGUCGUGGACUCGAGAAUCGUCGAAUUCCGACUUAUAACGAAGAAAACGAGUAUUAAAUGCUCGAAAACGAUAAACGAACGCUCAGAAUGAACCAAAAGGUGAAUUCUGAGUUAACGAUUUUGAAAAUGUAAAAUUCUUACAUGAACACCUAGAGUAUGUAAUUUGUGAGUUGUGGGUUUUUGAAUGAGCCAAUUCGGAUGUAAAACGAAUAAGUUAUGAAGCCGGGAAUUUCGUUGGAAAAACCAACUAUCAAAACUAACUGAUACACAGGGGUGGCACCGUAGCGCCAAACCCAGCAUAAAGGGCCGUGCUGCAGCGACGGACCCGAGCUCUGUCCCUGUUAACUGGCGCCGCAGCGCCAAAGAUAUACAAGAGCCUGACACCACAGCGCCGACAGUGUAGAGUUGACCAAGUUAGGUUUUUAAUUCUAUUUGAAUGUAAACCAAAGGUAAGACAUGAAUGUGCUUAAUGUACAUGAUGGGGCUGACUUUAAAUCACUUAUAAACUGAUAACGUUAGAAGAUUAGAUAUGGUUUAAACGAAGAAUGCAAGAGUGUAAUAAGUAAAACCGUGAAUGGUGUUCAACGCUGGUAUCUCACUAAUGAUCACCGAGUGUCAGUUAAUAACGUAAGAAUGUUAACGAGCCAUAAUGAAGUAUGGUAAGUCGAAUUGACAUUACUAAUGGAAUAAAUUCAAGUAAGACAUAGAAGAGAAAGAAGUUGGUUAAAAUAAAUAAAGUAAAUUUGUUUGGUAGCUAAUUACAGUGUGCAAUGUGAAUAUAUCAUGUAGAUCCUGUAAAGACUGAGAAUUGUUGAAUAGUAUAUUCGAAGACGCUUGAAGGCAAGUUUUCUUAACGCUUGUCUAACCUCCGUGUUAGUCAAGUUUUCUAUGAUUCAUGUUCUGCAAUGCAUGAAUGGUUUUAAAGAAAGAGUCGAUGCCUGUUUUAACUCGGCUAGACUAAUCUAAAGAGUUAGAAUGAUUUACAAGUCUUUUGAUAUAGAACUGUUAAUGCUAUCCUAUUCCAAGUAUUUGGUACGGAUGUAAAGGUAAGUUUGUCUAAGAACAAACAAAAGUAUUUUCAUCGAUUAUUCGAUGGGCACGCGAGGUUGUCAAAACUUAAACGUAAAUACGUUUAACGGAUGAGUGUUGAUCAACAUAGAGUACUAUAGACUGAUCACCUAGAAGUGCUCGUAAGUAAUGUCGGAUGCACGACCUUAGUGCCAGAUGUCCUUUUUAAGUGUGAAAACGAAAAGAGUAUGUUCAUGGUCUUUUGACCGGUUCAGAAUUCGUAAGCUAUUAUAUAUACGUUGGAAUCAUUGUUAUGAAAUGAGAAGUACUAGUCAAAUGUUUCAUAGUGCUUCAUAGCUAUUUGUUCAGUUAUGGAAAAUAAUCAUAUAAUUCUCGAUGUGGUAUUCAUAUGAUCCUUUGUUAGACUUGCUGAGCUAGUUAUGCUCACUUCUUGCUUGAAUUAUAUGAUUGCAGUUAAAGCCAUACGAACUUAGAGUUCUAAGAGAGAUAAGGGCAAGGCUAAGAUGGAUAGUUGAUUAUCAUGUAAUAAACUAGAGUAUUUGUAUGUAAUAUACUUAUGAAUAACAAAGAAUGUAUUCGGUUUAUGAACCUGGGAAAGGAUUUAUUACAAUUGUAAUAAGAAUAUAGUAAAUACGAUCAUUUUGUUGUUAUCUCAAUGGAAUGACUGUAUGAAUUGUAGUAUCGUGUAGCACCAUCUAUCGGGUUGGAAGAUACCCGGAUUUGGGGGCGUCACAAUGUAUCCUUGGUGGCGGAUAAAAGUCACUCUUGUAAGAUGGAAUGAAUAAUGUAUUUAUCAUUAUUUGUAAUGAAAGAGGUUAUAAGGUUUUAGAACCUGUGAUUUGAGAAUUUAUGUUGUUAUAUUUCACUAUAUAAUGAUGUAUGUUUGGAAGAUGAUGUACUCGUGAUGCACGAAAUCUGGGUGUGAAGAUAGACCGGAUUUCGGGGCGUUACAUGGUAUAUCAUUUGAUAUACUAGAAAGUUCAAACCAUGAUUCACCUUUAUAUAAUUGAAAUUAAGCUGAACAAUGGCCUUGAGUAUGUACAUAUGAAUUUAUCUCUCUGUCUGUGUAUAAGGUGUUGAAGUACCUACCAUUUAUCCUUCUAUGUCACUUGUUCAAAAUAUGAUAUGGACUUAACAUUUUACCGACUAGCUUAAUGUAAUUAUUUGUAACCUUCAUCUAUGAGCAAAGAGCUUCGAGGACUUGGUCUCAGCUUUCUAUGCACAAAUAGGCACACACAUAUAUUGUAUAUAUACACAUUCUUUGCCAGCUCUGCAACCAUCCCAAUAUGUGUGUGUCAUAUAUGAUGAGGGUCGUACUCUUGCUUGGGGUUCUUGCCCAUGUCGUGAGGUAUUUGCCAUUCUACUGGGCAUGUUUUCUUAGCAACAUUGCAUUCUUGCACCUUAAAAAUUGUCCUUCUAUGCAUAAAUCUUUGUUCUCUUUUCUGGUGUUGAUUUCUCGUUUCUCGAUACAAUCUACCACGAUAUGGUUGCUCGAUGAAGGUUGGUUAAUUAUGUUUCCACAAUCAUAUAAAAAAGCGUGCCAAACAGAUUAAAAAGCUAAUGCAGAGGGGGCUUCUAGAUCCUGAGAAGGUUGAUCUUUUUUCACUUUUUCUUGAAGCUGGAGGAUUAACAUACUGCAAGUACAAAGAUUCUAAAAGAGUUCUGGGGAAUACUUUCGGCAUGUGUAUACUACAGGUAGAUUACAUAUUUCGUAUUUCUGUAGUGGUGAAAUGUAAUAUAUGCUCUCUGCCUACAGUAUAUAUUUCGUAUAAAUAUCAUAGCUGAACCUAAAAAAAAUCACUUACUUAUCUGUAACGAAAACUCAAGGAGUAGCAAUUUGUCUAAGUUACUGCACCUUGUAUACUGCUCUUGCUUGGCCGUCGUAUAUAUCAUUUUCACUAACAUUAUAGAAAAAUUGAGGUUAUUGUACAUAAGAGAGAGUUCGAGCCAUCUCAGGGUCCAGAUGAAAGCACAUUGCUUUUCGGGCUGAGGCAGGGUCAUUGCAUUACAUAUCACAAUCUAACACUAUUAUGUAGGGGGCAUUGCUCAUUAUGCCCGAAAGUCGAAGUUGAUAGAAAUUAGUAACAAGCAGAUUGUCAUUAUAUUAUGUGAAGGCGAUGGAUAGAAAAGAGAGUAGCUAGGAAUACAACACAUACAAGCGCAUUGAGGGCUCCACCCUUGAAACGAUGAGGACGAGAGGGUCUUUUCAAGGAAAAUUCUAAUUUGUCGUUUUCUUAUCAACAAACGACUGAUGUUAUUGUUCACUGGGAGAAUCAGGUAUACGGUCCCUAACUUUUUGGAAAAUAUGCUCAAGAUACACGAGGAAAUUUUUCUUGCAACUUCUUAAGAGUGUAGAUUAUAUGUUCCCUGCCUCGGUGAUUCAUUAAGCCAGAAACUACCAUAUCUUACUUGGUUUGUAGCGUAAAUUUUAUAUUACCUUCCAAUAAAGUAGAGGCAUUGUUGAUUUUUUGGAGGUAGAAGUGAUUAAUGUUUGAAAUUCAUGUUCGUUGUAUGUUUUGUUGUUUUGGUAUGAAAUCUAAAAGGCUUAAGUUGGGGAUGUUAAUCUCUCUUUUUCUUCAAAGUUAAUUAUAAUUAUAUUCAACAAUUUUGGCUUAAUUAGUCUCUCUUUUGUCUUUGCUCAUUUCAUUAAAUUAUAAAGAAAAUAUUUGUUUUAUGUUUUUACUGAAUUAGUGAAUUGUGAACUUCAUAGUUUCAUAAUGCUUUUAUUUUAAUAUUUCCAUUUAUUUGGGUAUAUUUCCGAUCUUAGAUUUAAAUUUGGAUGCUGAGAGACCCGUAGGAUCUUGAUAAUUAGUGUGGUUGGGCGUCUUAAGCUUAAUUAAGAUAUUUCUGGUCCGAUCUGGAAACCACUUCCAUGUUUUUCAAGAAGGGGAAGUACAGUAAAAUCUCUUGUUCGGGAGUGUUUUAUCGACCUCCAGGUGGGCCGACAGCCCGACACCAGUUGGGGAUAACAAGUCCAAUGGGCUGAAGCCCUCAGAGAUGCUGAAGGUGUUCGGGGUUGAGCAUCCGAGUCCGUUGGGCCGGAGCCCUAUCCAGAUGGGUGAUAUUCAGGUUCGGGUAUCCGAGCCCCUUGGGCCGGUGCCCUAAUCUGGCGUAUGGCGUUCGGGAUCGGGCUUUAGGGUCCUUUGGGCUGAAGCCCAGAACAGAAUAUAAGCUCGAUUGGAUUGGGCAUGUACAAGGUGGUAGCCCACGUAUGGAGUCCGGAGUAAUAAGGAGUAUAAAUGGUUAUGGAUUCUAGUCCUAACCAUAUUUGAAUAAGGUAGUGUUUGGAUUGAAUUUCACUUACACUUUUUAAGGAGAUUAUGUUGGACCCAAAUAUAGGUAACUGCCAUAUUUAGGAGUCCUAAUCUGACUCGGAGAGGGAUUCUAGGGAAGUGAUAAUGACUAUAAAUACAAGGCUUGGGUUUCAAUCAAGAGGUAAUACUUUCUUUGAGCACUAAUAGUAAUGCAUCCAUUGUUAAACCUUGUGAACGGCCUGUACUUAUUCUCACACCGGAGCUAUCCCCCGGUGGCACAAGCCGUCAAGCUUCGUGUGAUCUGUUAUUGUGCAGGAUUCAGAGCGUGGACUUGGUGAUUGGACGCGCCGGCGAAACUUGGCGUUAACAUUGGCGCUAAAAGGAGGGCCUAGUGCUUUUUGCAAUCACAGUGAUCUUUUCUGGUAGGAGGCUAUGGCAAGUGAAGGUAACACUACUUCUGUCAAUGAAAAAGAAAAGACUUACCAGACCACCCAGGUGAGGGGGUCGGUGAAAGAUAGACUUGGUUCCAGGAUUAAGGAGGGUCAGGAAGAGCCAGUCCCUUCCCUCUGGGGUAAACUCUUCCAUGACAGCCAACACACACCCAACCUGGUUAGUCAUGCCGAUGAAAACCACUCUCGAGCAUACGAGGGGCAAGGAAGAAACCGCAGGGAAGGCAGCCAAGACCAGCGGGAGUUUAUUCUAAAAAAGAAAAUGCAGCAAAACAAAGACGCCAUGAUGGCCCUGCGUCUUCAACAAGAGGAGCUCGAAGAGAAGAUGGCAAAGAUGGUUGGGGAACAAGAAGCAUCCUCAAAAGGGCGUAGGCAUCGGAGCCGAUCCUGGUCACCUCGAUGGGGAGAAGCGGGAAGGGAGAAGAGCAGGCACGAUAGCCGCUCUCGAGAUGGCAGAAGCCGAAGAAGAAGCCGUUCGGCAAACCAAAAAUCAGAUCACCCGGGAAGAUCGGGACAGAGAAGGAGGAUAGGGUCUCCUGAAUGCGAGAGGGACAUGCACAGAUCAUCCCAUCAUAAAGAGGAGUCCGAUCCCCUUACUUGAAGGGUUGCGGAGUUGGAGAAACUACUGGCGGCAAAGAUUUCUAUAGGAACACCUUCGGCGUGUAUAGGCCCACCCUUUUCACUCGAGAUAAACCACGUCACUGCCGACCCAAAGAAGAAGAUGCCCCCGAUGGAGACGUAUAACGGGCUGGGAGACCCCUAUGAUCAUUCAUACGGGUAUGACAGGUUGAUGACCUACUAUGGACAUUCAGACGCUGCUAAGUGCCACAUAUUUGCAACAACCUUAAAGAAAAGUGCCCGAGAAUGGAUGGGGACCUUAGCAACAGGGUCAAUUAAUUCAUGGAGCGACCUUCGGGAGAAAUUUCAUGCUCGAUUUGGAAGUAACAGGAGACAAGGAAAGAUCAUGGCUUCCCUCAUGCAGGUUAGACAGAGGUCGGAUGAAAGUCUAGAUCAGUGUGUAAAGAGAUUUUGGGAGGCUGUGGGCUCGGUAGCAGAGUUGAACUCCCCGCAAGCCUUGGGCUUUUUCACAACUGGUCUGGAUAUAGGGAGAUCGAAGAAACUAAUGAAAGAUCUUGUGAUCCACCCUCCGGCGGAUUUGACAGAAGCCUUCCACCGAGCCGAGGGAUUUAUUGCAAUAGAAGAAGCUAUGGGAAAUUUCAAACCACACUCCCAGCCUUAUGAGAAGUCUAAAUAUCAGGACAAGCAAAGUUAUCAGCGGUGGGGGGUUCGGGAAGUGGCCGACCACCUUUCCCGAGAAAAAGUGUCAACAAGGUUUACACCGCCCUCAACUCUGAUCGGUCAUGUAACCAUCCAUUUUUCGAGCCAUGUUCGACGCAUCCGAAGCCAGGAAAAAUAGUUCGGCACAAAUAUUGCGAAUACCAUCAAAGCCGCAGGCACACAACGGAGAUGUGCAAUGAUCUGAAGGAUUUGAUAGAAAAGAACGUCCAGAACGACCAGCUAGUUCAGUAUGUAGCGGGUCGAGAAAAUUCUAAGGCGCCCAGGGAGGAAAGCAGAGGACCGGCUUGAGAUACACAGCCAAAACAGAACCCGCCACCCCGAGGCAUGAUUGACGUAAUUUCAGGCGGUUCGGUAGGGUGUGUGACCGGGAAAAAAAGAAGUAGACAUCUCGAGGCCAUGUUGUCAGUAGAAGGUUCAUCGCCAAGAAAGGAUCGGGCUUACUCGGGAAUAUCCAUCUCUUUCUCAGACGAAGACUAUCCUACGGAUCCUAUUGACCCACACGAUGGGGAAUUGGUAAUAACUGCUCAAGUCGGGCCCGUGGACAUGAAGAUGAUGAUGAUCGACAAUGGGUCCUUCGUCGACAUACUGUACACCCACGCUUACCAGAGAUUGGAUCUCGAAGGAAAGAAAAUGGAGUUUGGUGGAGAAGGCCCGUUGUAUGGUUUCAGUGGAGACCCGAUGCAUGUAUCAGGCACCAUUGAAUUGCCUGUCAGGUUCGGCAUGGCUCCCCAGCAGGCAGAAAUAAGGGUCAGAUUUUUGUGGUACAGGUAGAUUCGGCAUACAACGCUAUACUGGGAAGGCCGACCCUGGUAGCCCUGCAAGCCGUUACAUCCAUACCCCACUUUAAGAUCAAGUUUUCGACGCCGAACGGGAUAGGGGAGGUAAAGCGGGAUCUUGAUAUAGCCCGAAGGUGCUAUCGGAACACAUUAAUUUCUUCGGGGGUCGGGGUUAGCAAGCAAAAGCAAACAAUGACAAAUGAAAUAGAGCCAUUCACUGAGAGCAGCACCGAACCGAUGGCCAUACCCGCCGAAAAAACUAAAGAUGUGGAAUUGGUCUCGGGCAAUACAGAGAAAUUGGUCAAAAUUGGGUCGGGGCUGGCAGAACCCGUACGAACGGGGCUGGUAGAUCUGCUUCGGGCAUAUGCCGACAUCUUUGCAUGGGAGCCCAACGACAUGCCCGAGGUAAGUGGGUCGGUGGCUUUACACAAUCUGCAUGUAGACCCGAAGAGAAAACCAGUGAUACAGAAAAGAAGGAUAUUCGCCCCAGAAAGGCAGAGGAUCAUAGAUGAGGAAAUCGCUAAACUACUAGAGGCAGGAUUCAUUUUCGAGAUUAACUACACCGAAUGGUUGGCUAAUGUGGUAUUGGUUCAGAAAUAGAAUGGAAAGUGGAGACUAUGUAUCGAUUACACAGAUCUGAACAAGGCAUGCACAAAAGAUUUCUAUCCUUUGCCCAACAUAGACCAAUUGAUUGAUGCCACUUCGGGGUACGGUAUGUUAAGUUUCAUGGAUGCCUUCUCAGGAUACCACCAGAUUUCGAUGAACAAGGAGGACAUCCCAAAGACCAGUUUCAUUACUCAUCGGGCCAUCUAUGCAUAUCGAAAGAUGACCUUCGGAUUGUUAAAUGACGAAGCAACAUACCAGCGAAUGAUGAACUUCGUAUUCAGAAAGCAGCUAGGCCGAAACAUGGAAGUGUAUGUGGAUGAUAUGAUUGUGAAAAGUAUGUCAGUUGGGAUGAUCUGGAGGACCUAGAAAGCUGCUUCGAAAUAGUAAGAAGACACAAGCUAAGACUGAACCCGACUAAAUGUACCUUCGGAUUGGGGUCAGGAAAGUUUCUGGGCUAUCUAAUCAGUAAGAGAGGUAUUGAAGCGAAUCCAGAGAAGAUUCAGGCGAUCUUAAACAUGAAAUCUCCAAAGACAUACAAAGAUGUGCAGAGGUUGACGGGCCAGAUAGCUGCCCUUCGGAGAUUUAUGUCGAGAUCGGCCGAAAGAUGUUUACUCUUCUUUGACACUCUCAAGGGGCCAAAGAAUGAGAAGAGUUUCCAGUGGACCUUAAAGUAUGAAGAUGUGUUCCAAGGGAUCAGGAAAUAUUUGUCGUCGGCACCUUUAUUGAUGAAACCGGUCCCUUCGGAACCUUUGUAUCUAUAUUUGGCUGCAAGCUCGAUGACCGUGGGAGCAGCACUGGUCAAGGACAUGGGGGAAGACAAUUCUCGGUGUACUAUGUUAGCCACGUUCUUCGGGAUAUAGAUAUAACAUACUCGAACUUGGAAAAAUUUGCCUACGCCUUGAUUAUUGCGAGUAGAAAGCUGCGUCAUUAUUUCCAAGGUCGAUUGGUAGUGGUAUAUACGGAUCAGCCGUUAAAGAAAGUACUGUACAAGCCAGAAGUGUUGGGUCGAUUGGCCGCGUGGGCGAUAGAAUUAACAUAAUUUUCUAUAGAAUUUCAUCCCCGAACAAUAAUCAAUGGACAGGCAUUGGGAGACUUCAUAGUAGAAUGUUCUUUCACCGAACCAAACGUGAAUACAAUUGUCGAAGCUCAGCAGGCGCCUACUUCGUGGACUUUGUAUGUGGAUGGGUCAUCGACCCCGAACAUCAGUGGAGCAGGAUUUAUCCUGACAAGUCCCGAAGGGUUUAAAGUCCAGCAAGCCAUCUGGUUCCAGUUUAAAGCUCAAACAACGAAGCAGAAUAUGAAGCCAUUCUAGUUGGACUUUGGUUGGCCCAAAGUUUGGAAGUACAGAAGCUAGUCAUCUACAGCGAUUCCCAGCUGGUGGUCAAGCAGAUAUCGGGAGAGUAUGAGGCUCGUGGGGCAAGAAUGUCAAAAUAUCUGGCCGAAGUGAAAGAUAAACUCACGUACUUCAGCACACAUAGUUGUCAUGGGAUCGAUCGGGCAGACAAUAUGGUAGCAGAUGCUCUGGCUAAACUGGCAACUACUGAAGCUAAUUCAUUUAACAUAUCAGUAUACGUAGACCUGUUAGAGUAACCAAGCGUACCGAAGGUGGAUGUGAUGGCCUUGGACCGGCUCGAUUGCUGGCUCACACCUUAUAUCUUGUACCUUUCCAAUGGGGUGUUACCCUCGGAUCGCAUAUUGGCAAGAAAGAUCAAGCACAGGAGUUUGAAUUUUAUUCUGAUCGAUGGGGAUCUAUACCGAAGGACUUUUAGCUCCCCCUGCUCAAGUGCUUGACUCCAUCGGAAGCAGAUUACACAGUUCAAAAUGAGAGAAUUUGUGGAGAUCACAUGGGGGCCAAGUCAUUGGCAUAUAAGAUUCUGAGGCAGGGAUACUAUUGGCCGACCAUUUACCAGGAAGCCAAAGACUUCAUCAAAAAGUGUCUGAAAUGCCAGCUGAAUAGCACCAUCCCUCAUCAGCCUCCCGAAGAGUUAUUUUCAGUCUUAUCCCUGAUUCCAUUUUCCAUAUAGGGAAUAGACAUCCUGGGGCCUUUGCCGAAGGCCAAGGGACAAGUCAGAUUCAUGAUCGUGGCCAUUGACUACAUGACCAAGUGGGUCGAAGCCAAACCUCUACAGAAGAUCACCGAGCAGGAAUGUUUGAAGUUUUUCAAAGAAGGGGUUGUUUAUCGAUUUGGAAUCCCGAUGGCAGUGGUCUCGGAUAAUGGCAGGUAGUUUGUGGGGUCGAAAUUUGAAGCUUUUCUGAAAGAGUUGGGAAUUCAACACCGAAAGACUUCAGUCGCUCACCCUCAGUCGAAUGGCCAAGUAGAAGUCACCAACCGAACCCUUCUGAACGGAAUUAAAUGGAGGCUAGACGAAUUAAAGGGUCGGUGGCCAGAAGAACUACUCACUUUUUUGUGGGCUUAUCGGACUACUCCGAGAACAACAACGGGAGAUUCGUCGUUUAGGCUGGUAUACGGGACCGAUGCAUUCAUACCAGUUGAGAUCGGAUCUCCAACUCUUUGGGUCAGCUAGUAUAAGGAGUUAUAUAAUGAUCAGGGCCUACGGGUAAACCUGGACCUUUUAAAAGAAGUUCGGGACUCAGCUCUGAUAAGGUUAGCCAUUUACCAGAAGAGAACAACCCGACACUAUAAUCAGUAGGUAAAGUAGAGGAGAUUUAAGGUUGGAGACUUAGUACUUCGGGAGUCGGAGGCGUCAACCCCCCAGAACACUGAUAAGCUGAUGCCUAACGGGGAGGGACCUUAUGAAGUGGUAGAAGUGUCGAAGCUAGGUACAUACCGGCUUCGAGCAAUGGAUGGUGCGGAAGUAAAGAAUACAUGACAUGCUGGAAGACUUAGAAAAUUUUACCAGUAAAAGUUAUGUCAUUAUUUUCUUUGUUUGGGUACACUGCAUUAUUUAUCAAUAAAAUAAAUAAGAUUUUUCUUCGGGAAUGUUUAUGCUUCAUUUAUAUUCAUAAGCUUUUACAUAUCUGAUCAGACAAACUUCGGACUCAGGCCGAUCAGAAAGUUGAAAGCGACUUAACUGAUCGGUAAAAGUCACGGGUAUAAUCGAUCGAGAUAAUUGUAAUUGUUCAUCAUACAAACUUCGAGCUUAAACUGAUUAGAAAGUUGGGAAUGGCAUAACUGAUCGGUCAAAGUAACAAGUAUAACUGAUCAAAAAACUAGGACUAGAGAAAUUUUCUACUUCAUUCAUACCCAAAAGUUUUACAACUCCGAUCAGAUAAACUACUCAACUAUAAACCGAUCAGAAAGUUAAAAACAACAUAACUAAUCAGCAAAAUAUCUCAAGCAUAACUGAUCGGGCAGGUUACAAACAAUAAAAAGAAAAAGAUUACAAAAAUAAAAACUACUCCGGAGAACUAUCAUCUUCGGAUUUGAACUCUUCGUCAGAGGAGUCGAGGAUAGCAGCAUCCUGCCCAACAGCAAUCAGCCUUGCCCGGGCCUUUCCCCGAUAUGCUUCAAAACCUUUCGCAAACUGGGUCAUGGCCUUAUCGGUAAGGGCAGGCGAUUCCUCGUAUUCCUUGAUGGCUAGCUGCUUGACAACGGCACGCUCUUCCCUCAAUGUGUUGUUCUCAUAACUAUUCUAAUCGGAUUAGAAGCAUGAAGAAUCGUUUUAAUAUGAUUAAUCGAAACUGGAAAUAUAUGAUAAAUUCUGGGUGUACUGUUAUUCGUUUUAAUAUGAUUAAAUCGAAACUGGAAAUAUAUGAUAAAUUCUGGGUGUACUGUUAUUCGUUUUAAUAUGAUUAAAUCGAAACUGGACAUAUAUGAUUUGUUAUUAUGGGUGUUUUGGUGGAUUAAAAUGUAUGAUUCUGAAACUGUUUCAGAGAUUCGUAUGGAAAAAUUCUGCAAUACAGAAUGUAGUUCGAAAUUUUUUUCCAGGGGCGCUGCCCCCGACCCCGCUCGCUGACCGAUCAGCCGGACCACCACCAGGGGGGGAGACCCCCCCCUUGGACCCCCCCGUCGUAGCGCACGAUGGUCGUGUCCCCUAUAUUUUAUAUAUAGUUUUCUUUAAUUAUAUAUAAAUUGUUAUGUGCUUAUUGUGAUAUGCAUGGUGCACAGUUAUGGCCUUUUGACCCAUAGGUUAGUGGUUUUUGGUUUUGAAAUACGGCUUGCAUGUCGUGCCUUUCUAUAAAUUCUAAUGUAAUAUUCUCUUCUCAUCUAAAUCCCCUCGAAUGUAACUCGAGGUUUCUUUAUGUCAUGUAAUAAUCUGUAAUUGAUGAAGAUGUCAAGAUGGAGAACACAAUGGAAAGAUGAUGAUGGAGAGGAGGCGCAUGCUAGAGGAAGAUCCAAGGAAGUUAUUUAUUUUAAGAUCUUUUACCACCUUAGAUUGACCUUCAAUCUUUCAUUAGCUUGAAAAGAUUGACAGUGGAUUGGGCCAUAACUGUGACACAUUUAAUUUUGCACUUUAUUUAUGCUUGUAUGUGAUAUGAUAUGAUUAAUAAUGUGCAUGCUUAACAAGAUUAAAAUUGGUGAGAUCUAAAUUAAUAAAAUCCCUCAUUAAAUUAUUAAGUCUAAAUCAGAUGCCUUCCAAUGAAUAACACUCAUCAAGACCUUGAUCAAUAGAUGUAGGUUUGCCAAAGCAAAGUACCCUAUUUAUCUAGGUAAGAUGCGAUAGGAUAAUUGUGAUAUCCAAACUAUUAAAAUCAUUGGGCCCGACUUAACUAAGUUAUCUCAAUAGGAUUGUGGACUUAGAGGCAUAGAGUUUGGUUGGUACCAUUAGAUGGACUAGAAACAAAUGUUGUUUACCAAACUAUCCAGGAGUUAUAUAUGAUAUAAUUGACAAAGGGUUGUCUACCUAAAUAAUUAUGUUUUGAGAGAAUAGCCAAAGCUAACUUAAGGCAUAAUGAAAUAUGGAUCUUGGCUCACUAGAAAGAUUUAAUAGAAAAUGCUUUCCGAAUUAAUGGUGAGGGCUAUUAAUUUGAAUAAAAUAGUGGGAGGUAUAUUUUGAAUGUACUAUUAUCAAUUAUAUAAUAUCAACUCUGUAAUUUGACUUAUUAUUGUUGCACUUAUAAAUUGUAGAUAUCAAAUGGCAAACAACAACAACACAAAUAGUCUUUCAUUACGAUCAGUCCUUGAAAAGGACAAGCUAAGUGGAAUUAAUUUCCUUGACUGGCAUAGGAACUUGAGGAUUGUCCUCAAACAAGAGCGUAAGCUAUAUGUCCUUGAUGGGCCCAUUCCUGCAGCACCAGCUGUCACUGCACCACGUGCGGAGCACAAUGCUUACAAGAAGCAUCAAGAUGAUGCUCUGGAUGUGAGUUGUGUCAUGCUAGCAACCAUGAACGCUGAGCUUCAGAAGCAACAUGAGUUGAUGGAUGCUUAUGAGAUGAUCGAGCAUCUCAAGAAAUUGUUCGAAGGGCAUGCUCGACAGGAGAGGUAUGAUACAAGCAAGGCGUUGUAUCACUGCAAAAUGGGUGAACGUGAUCCAGUUGGUCCACAUGUGCUGAAAAUGAUUGGGUAUAUUGAGUACCUUGAUAGGUUGGGUUUUCCAAUCACUCCGGAAGCCCAAACUGACCUUGUUUUGCAAUCUUUGAACAGCAGCUACUCUCAAUUUGUUAUGAACUAUCUUAUGAAUGAAAUUGAGAAACCCCUUACUGAGUUGUUGAGCAUGUUAAGAACUGCCGAGAACAACAUGAAAAAGGCAGGACCCGCUCCCAUAAUGAUGGUGCAAAAGGGGAAUGCUAAGGGAAAUUGGAAAGGCAAGAAGAAGAUAGGAUCUAAAUCUUUUGCCAAACCCAAUUCCAAGAUAGGAAUGUUGAGAACAAAGUGGUUGUUGCUUGAACUGGUAUUUUUCUAAAAAGAGAAUUUGUCUCUAAUGGAAACAGUGGGAGGAAAGUAGAACUUGAAGAAAUUCGAGAACCACAAAAUAUCAUUGAACCUGAGUUGGAACAUGAGCAGGAACCACAAGAAAUUGUGGAAAGUGAACCUGCUCAAAUUACACAAGUCAUUCGUAGAUCUGGUAGGACACGCCAAGAGCCUGAGAGAUAUUAUGGAUAUCUUGUGACUCAAAACGGCGAUGUGAUGCUCAUAGAUCAAGAUGAGCCUGCUUCCUACCAAGAAGCUAUGAAUGGACCAGAUUCUGAGAAAUGGCUUGAAGCCAUGAAAUCUGAGAUGGACUCCAUGUAUACUAACCAAGUAUGGACUCUGGUUGAUCCACCCGAAGGGGUAAAACCAAUCGGGUGCAAGUGGGUUUUCAAGAAGAAAACCGACAUGGAUGGUAAUGUACAAACCUAUAAAGGCCGACUGGUAGCAAAAGGUUUCAAACAAAUUCAAGGUGUUGACUAUGAUGAAACCUUCUCUCCAGUGGCAAUGGUUAAAUCCAUCAGGAUCUUACUUGCUAUUGCAGCUUUUUAUGAUUACGAAAUCUGGCAGAUGGAUGUCAAAACUGCUUUCCUUAACGGAAAUCUCCUUGAGGAUGUGUAUAUGACACAACCUGAGGGUUUUGUCACUCCAAAGGAUGCUGGAAAGGUAUGUAAGCUGCAGCGAUCCAUUUAUGGAUUGAAGCAAGCCUCUCGGAGUUGGAAUCUUCGAUUUGAUGAAGCAGUCAAAGAAUUUGGCUUUAUUAAAAAUGAAGAUGAACCUUGUGUAUAUAAGAAGGUUAGUGGGAGUCACAUUGUAUUCCUAGUAUUAUAUGUUGAUGACAUAUUAAUUAUUGGGAAUGACAUUCCUUCCUUACAGGCUGUAAAAACAUGGUUAGGAAAAUGUUUCUCCAUGAAAGAUUUGGGCGAUGCUGCCUACAUUUUAGGUAUCAAGAUCUAUAGAGAUAGAUCAAGAAAAAUGCUCGGCCUAAGUCAAAGUACAUAUAUUGAUAAAGUGUUGAAACGGUUCAGCAUGCAAGAGGCGAAAAGAGGAAACUUACCCGUGACUCAUGGUGUAAAGAUCUCUAAGGCCCAAUGUCCUAAAUCACAAGAUGAUGAGGAGCGUAUGAGAAAGAUCCCUUAUGCUUCGGCAAUUGGAUCUAUCAUGUAUGCAAUGAUAUGUACUCGUCCGGAUGUCUCGUAUGCUUUGAGCAUGACGAGCAGAUACCAGUCGAAUCCAGGUGAAGGUCACUGGACAGCAGUCAAGAAUAUCCUCAAGUACCUGAAAAGGACUAAGGAUUCAUUCUUGGUAUAUGGAGGUGAAGACGAACUAGCAGUAAAGGGUUACACAGAUGCUAGUUUCCAGACUGACAAUGAUGACUAUAAGUCUCAGUCAGGUUUUGUGUUUUGCCUUAAUGGUGGUGCUGUUAGCUGGAAAAGUUCGAAGCAAGAGACAGUAGCUGAUUCUACAACAGAGGCUGAGUAUAUUGCUGCUUCUAGUGCAGCCAAGGAGGCUGUAUGGAUUAAAAAGUUCAUCACUGAACUUGGUGUUGUUCCAACCAUUGUUGAUCCGGUUGCUCUAUACUGUGAUAAUAAUGGAGCCAUUGCACAGGCUAAGGAACCCAGAUCUCACCAACGAUCCAAGCAUAUACUUAGGCGGUACCAUCUCAUCCGUGAAAUCAUUGAUAGAGGAGAUGUACAUAUAGGAAGAGUGCCAACAGAUGAUAAUGUUGCAGAUCCACUAACCAAGGCUUUGUCGCAGCAGAAGCACGACGGUCACACUAGUUCCAUGGGUAUUAGAUACAUUAGUGAUUAGCUCUAGUGCAAGUGGGAGACUGUUAGAGUUUAUGCCCUAGAGGCCAAUUAUUUGAUAUAAUUGCUUAACGUUUUGAUAUUAUAUUUGAUUGAAUAAAUAUAUGAUUUUAUUAUGGUUUUAUUUACUGCGUAAUAUAAUUGUUAACAUAAUAAAAUUCCUUAGAAUAGUGAUACAAAUUAUAUAGUUUCAAGUAUGUGACUUGAACAUGAGAUUAUAUAUUACCAUUAGUAUCAGUGUUCUUAAAUGUCCCUAGUCGAGUAUCAUUGUUGAUGGGACAACAAUGAUGCAUUGAGACUAGUAUGUGGAUUGACUGAUGACCAAAUCUCAUUGGUCAUAAAUAUAUGAGAUAUUAAGUCAAUGCAUAGGUACAUGUUAGAGAACGAUGUACUGGACAGACCCACCAUGAGAAUUCUAUAUGGAGCAUUAUGCGAAGUGUCAUUAGCAAUUCUCAUAGUGACAAUGAUGUAAUGGUCCUCCGACCUGAAAUCGCUAUAUUACUACACGAGAAUUUAUGUACUUUGAUAUCAUCAAAUGUCACCUUUAAUAGGGUGGACUAUAAAGGUGAUUAUUGGGUUCAUCAUUAAUCGUGUGAGAAAUAUGAGUGAUCUAGAUGGAAUUUAACCAUCCUAUAUAUUAUGGGUGAUAUCCAUAGGCCUCUUGAUUGAGUAGGACUAUGAAAUGCAUGGCCAUGCUCAAAUAGUGAUUUGUUUCAUAUAGUCUACUCAUUGAUCAAGAAAACUCAGAUUAAAUUAUGAAGAGUAUGACACAUUCCAUGACUCGAGUUUAAUCUAGGAUAUUAAGGUUAAAAGGAUUAAAUUACAUUGAAACAUUGGUCACGAAAAGGUUGCAUCGAAUCAUCGAUCUUAUUAUUACUUGGGUAGCAGUGAUGCAUUACUAGAUGCCGCUCACUGUUUAUAAUUUUAUAAUAUGAUUUUAAAAUUAUUGCCAACGUAAUAAUAACCUAUAGGGUCACACACAUAGAACGUUAUUUAAAAGGGAAUUAAUUUAAAUUUUAAGGAUUUAAAUAUAUUAAUAUGAUUAAUAGUAUUUAAAUCACGAAUUUAAAUUAAAAGGAUAAUUUGUAUAUAUGUAUAUUAAUUAAGUAAGACUUAAUUAAGAGAUAUAUAUAUAUAUAUAUAUAUAUAUAUAAAUUCGGAUUUUAUAAAAUUAGGUUUUGAUUUGAUUAAUUCCUUUUAACUACUAUAUAUAUGAUAUAUAGCAGCUACUUAGGGUAAGAUAUCAUAAUUGAAAAACCCUAGCCGCUCUUAGAGAGAGACUAGAGAGAAAACAGUUUCAGAAAAUCCAUUCCUUUUGGUGGCUAGUACCGCAAGUCCUUCUUAUUGCAGAAUCGUUCGACGGUUCGUGCGGCGUUCGUGUGGAUACCGUAGAGGCGCAAUCGGUUUGUAUUGCGUUGGAGAUUCGAGGCGCAGUCGGUUUCAGAUUCUCGUUUUUUUUUUUAUAUCUGGUAUAAUCUCUAAACCUCUGAAUUAAUUGAUUUUUCAAAUGGAUCCUGUUUUAGGGUUUCGAAAAUUGCUUUAAAAUUUUAAUUUCCGCUGUGCGUUUCUGUGCCGAAGCCCAACACGUUCUUAGCACUAUAAUACUAUAAUAACAAAAUUAUAUUUUUAAUAGUUAUAAUAUUGCAUUAUAUCAGAAUUUACAUAAUUCGUACAAAAGAAAAAUCAUUCCUGGCCCUACUGUUGACCAGCGCUGCGGCGCCACAGUUUGUAUUGUGGGCGUUGCUGCGACAUGGUAUUGGCGCUGCGGCGCGAUGCCCAGGCCAUGAACCGGCGCUGUGGCACAAAAGUCGGGGCUGCGACACUGACUUUAGCACUGCGGCGUGAAGUUGGGGCUGCAACACUGAUUUUGGCGUUGAGGCGUCGAACUUACAGUAUCGAGCAUGAAGAACAGAACAAAGCUAACUUCUGUCUGUUUAAUAGCUUCUAGCAGCUAAAUUAACACGUAUAACUUACAUAGAUUACAGAUAACAUUUACCCAUCAUACAUCUACCAAUUUAAAACAACUAAAUAACAAUUUUAGAAAGAUUAAAUCCUUGAAUGCUAUGUUUUUGAACCAAAACUCCAUUUUUGACAUUUGUUUGACACAGUGAACACGAUAACCACUAUCAUACACCAACUUGAUUCUUUUGAACUACGUUCUCUUUAUUUCUUAGCCAAUUAAUAUAUUCAAAGUUCAAUUUUACAUUUAGCUCACAAUAAAUUACUAAUUUUGGUACUCCUACAAAUAAUGCUCAUACAUAUGUUUAUUGUAAAACCAAUCUCUUUCUUUUAAACGUAAUUCAUCAUACAAAUCAACUAAAAUCAUAUAUAUAUUCUAGUUAUAAUAUCACAAUUACAAUAUACACAUAACUUAUUACCCAUCAUCAAGAGACUUGGAUUACAGACAACACAAACACACACACACACACACACACACACACACACACACACACACACAUAUAUAUAUAUAUAUAUAUAUAUAUAUAUAUAUAUAUACAUAUAUAUAUAUAUAUAUNNNNNNNNNNNNNNNNNNNNNNNNNNNNNNNNNNNNNNNNNNNNNNNNNNNNNNNNNNNNNNNNNNNNNNNNNNNNNNNNNNNNNNNNNNNNNNNNNNNNNNNNNNNNNNNNNNNNNNNNNNNNNNNNNNNNNNNNNNNNNNNNNNNNNNNNNNNNNNNNNNNNNNNNNNNNNNNNNNNNNNNNNNNNNNNNNNNNNNNNNNNNNNNNNNNNNNNNNNNNNNNNNNNNNNNNNNNNNNNNNNNNNNNNNNNNNNNNNNNNNNNNNNNNNNNNNNNNNNNNNNNNNNNNNNNNNNNNNNNNNNNNNNNNNNNNNNNNNNNNNNNNNNNNNNNNNNNNNNNNNNNNNNNNNNNNNNNNNNNNNNNNNNNNNNNNNNNNNNNNNNNNNNNNNNNNCACACACACACACACACACACACACACACACAUAUAUAUAUAUAUAUAUAUAUAUAUAUAUAUAUAUUCACAUCACCUUUCUCUCCUCUCUUCUCUCUGGUCUCUCUCAAUUCUCUGUAAAUUUCUUCUCUUUCUUCUUAGGCUCAGUCCUAGACCAAAUACAAUUGACGUAAAAUAAAACCAAGUUAACGCACCAUUUUCAAACGUCUAAAAACCGACGUUAUAAUAAAUAUACUAAUAAAUUAUCUGUUACCAAAAUUAAUAUAUAUUAUUAAUAUUUUAUUUAUUUCAUUUAUAUUAUUUAAAAAUUUAAAAUUUAAAAAUCCAAAAGCCAUAAGGCUCUGUUUGGCAAAACUCUUAAAAUAUUAAAGACUUAAUAUCUUUAAGCCUUGUUUGGCAAAACUAAAUUAAACUCCUUUAAUUUAUUUUAAUAACUCUUUUAUAGUAUAGUUUAUGGUCACACUUUAUUUAAUUAAGUUUUCGUACUUAAUUUAAUUAAUUCUAAUAACAAUUUAUAGAAUAAAUUUACCACAUAAAUUAAUACAACAAAAUUAUAAUUUUCUUUAUAAUUAUAAUUUUAUUUAAUAAAUUAACACAUCAUUUUAAUUACAACAUUCUUAAAAUUAAAUAAAUAUUAUAUCCAUUAAAUAUUUAUAUCAUUCAAUAAAUAUUUAAAAUUACAAAUUAAAAUUCUAGAUUGUUACAUCCUUCCCUCCUUACAAGGAUUCUGUUCCCAGAAUCACAACUCAAGAAAAUCAUUCAUCACAUUCUUCCCUACUUACAAAGAUUAUGUCCCCAGAAUCGAAGACACAGAUUAAACAAAUAACUCAGGAUACUCUUUCAUCAUUUUAUCUUCGAGUUCCCACGUAGCUUCUUCAGCAUUAUGGUUCCUCCAUAUCACAUUCACAUAAGGUAUAACUUUAUUCCUGAGCACUUGUUCUUUCCUGUCGACUAUCUGGAUAGGAACCUCUUCAUAAGACAAGUCCUUAUCAAACUGCAAUGGUUCGUACUCGAUCACGUGCUUGUAAUCGGGUUUAUACGGUCGUAACACCGAAACAUGAAAAACAUUGUGAACGUUUUCCAACUUUGGAGGUAGCGCAACCUUGUAAACGACUUCUCCUACUCUUCGCAGCACUUCAAAGGGUCCAAUAAACCUCGGGCUUAGCUUUCCCUUUUUACCAAAACGAAUUUUUCCCUUCCAAGGAGAAACUUUUAAGAACACGAAAUUUCCUACGUCAAAUGCACGAUCUUGUCUGUGUUCAUCGGCAUACUUCUUUUGCCUGUCUUGAGAAGCUACCAAUCUUGUUCUGAUGAGUUUGACAACCUCAGCUGUUUGUUGUACCAGUUCUGGUCCUAAUAGUUGACAUUCACCAACUUCAUCCCAGCACAGUGGAGUUCUGCACUUUCUGCCGUAUAAUGCUUCGUAAGGCGGCAUGCCGAUGCUUGCGUGAUAACUAUUAUUGUAGGCAAAUUCCACCAAUGGUAAAUGUUCAUCCCAGCUCCCUUUAAAAUCCAUGAUGCAUGCCCUAAGCAUAUCUUCCAAUGUCUGGAUUGUUCGUUCGCUCUGGCCAUCUGUUUGCGGAUGAUAUGCCGUACUCAUUCUCAACUGUGUUCCCAUACAUUCUUAUAGUCUCUUCAAGAAGUUUGACGUGAAUUACGGAUCUCUAUCUGACACAAUUAACACUGGCACUCCAUGUCUCGAAACGAUCUCUUUAACGUAUAACCUUGCCAACUGAUCAAGAUUGAAUCUAAUCUUUAUUGGCAAAAAGUGUGCUGACUUUGUCAGUCUGUCCAUUAUCACCCAAAUCGCAUCUCAUCCUCUCUGAAUAGUUGGAAGACCCACCACAAAAUCCAUUAUGAUAUGUUCCCACUUCCAUUUCGGUAUUUCCAACGGUUGAAGUAAUCCGCUUGGUCUUUGAUGCUCGACCUUGACUCUUUGACAUGUCAAACAUUUCGCGACACACUCUGCGGCAUCUCUUUUCAUGUUUGGCCAUCAAAAAUGAUGUUGUAAAUCUUGAUACAUCUUCGUACUUCCUGGAUGAAUCGAGUAUCUUGAGUUAUGAGCUUUGGUCAAAAUUUCUUCUUUAAUCUCUGGGACUGCUGGAACCCAGAUUCUUCCCUUGAAUCUUAGUAACCCUUCAAUAUCAAUCUUGUGUUUCAUUUCACCACAUUCAACUAUUUUCUCUUUGAUCUUCCCACAUUCUUCAUCUUGUAGUUGAGCAUUCUUAAUUUUGUCCACCAAAGUUGGACUAGCUUCUAUCUAGAAUAGUUGUUCAUCAGAUUCUCUUGGAAAUUUUAUUUCCAACUCUAGCUUGGUCAUUGCUGAAAUAAGCUCCUCUUGAGUAGUUAUCAGCAUUAACUUUUCCUGACCUUUCCUGCUUAAAGCAUCUGCAACCACAUUUGCUUUGCCUGGAUGAUAAAAGAUCUCACAAUCGUAAUCUUCUAUCAAUUCCAUCCAUCUUCUUUGACGUAUGUUCAGGUCCUUCUAAGUGAAAAUAUACUUCAGACUCUUAUGGUCUGUGUAGAUUUCACAUUUCUCUCCAUAGAGAUAAUGUCUCCAUAUCUUCAGAGCAAAUACUACUGCAUCCAACUCUAAAUUAUGAGUCGGAUACCCUUUCUCAUAGUCCUUCAGUUGUCUUGAUGCAUAUGCAAUAACUUUGUCGUUCUGCAUAAAAACACAACCUAAUCCUUUAUGUGAGGCAUCACUAUACACCACAAAGUUUCCUGUAUUAUCUGGUAAUGACAACACAGGUGCCACACUUAACUUCUUUUUUAAAUCUUGAAAACUUUCUUCACACUUCUCUGUCCAAACAAAUUUUACAACUUUCCUUGUCAAAUUUGUUAACGGAGUGGCUAACUUGGAAAAAUCUUGAAUAAACCGUCUAUAAUAACCGGCCAGUCCCAAGAAACUCCUCACCUCCGAAGGUGUUCUUGGUUGUUCCCAAUUGAUUACAGCUUCAACUUUUGAUGGAUCCACUAAAAUCCCAUCUUUGCCAAUCACAUGUCCCAAAAAUUGUACACGAUCUAGCCAAAAUUCACACUUAGAGAAUUUUGCGUAUAACUUUUCCUUUCUUAGUGUCUCCAACGUCAAGCGUUAAUGUUCCACGUGUUCUUCUUGAGAUUUAGAGUACACCAGAAUGUCGUCGAUAAAUACCACCACAAACUUGUCUAAGAAUGGUUUAAACACCAUGUUCAUCAAAUCCAUGAAUGCAGCAGGGGCAUUGGUCAAACCAAAAGACAUCACCAGAAACUUGUAAUGUCCAUACCGAGUUCUGAAUGUCGUUCUAGGUACAUCCUCCUUUCUUACCUUUAGUUGAUGAUACCCACUCCUCAAAUCUAUUUUUGAGAAGUAUUUAGCACCCUUCAAUUGAUCAAACAAGUCAUCUAUUCUUGGCAACAUAUAUGUAUUCUUAAUAGUGACUUUGUUUAAUUCCUUAUAAUCAAUACAAAGACGCAUUAGCCCAUCCUUCUUCUUCACGAAUAACACCGGUGCUCCCCACGGUGAUACGUUUGGUUGAAUAUACUUAUUAUCUAACAGUUCUUGCAGUUAUAUCAUCAGUUCCUUCAUCUCUGCCGAAGCCAUUCUGUACGGACCUUCGAUAUCGGGGUUGUUCCUGGUGCUAAGUCGAUCACGAACUCAAUCUCUCUAUCAGGUGGAAGUCCUGGCAAAUCCUUCGAAAACACAUCACAAAUUCCCUAACCACUAAUAUCUCUUCCAGUUUCACACCCUUCUUCUGAGUAUCGACUAUGUAAGCUAAAUAACCCACACAACCUUGACUCAACAAUUUCUUGGCUUGCAUAAUCGUCAGACAUCUCGCAUGUCUAGGCUAUUUGUUACCAUAGAAAACUACCUUUGACGGAGUCAUAAGGUUUACACAUUUCUUUUGGCAAUCAAUUAUCGCUCCAUAAUUGAACAACCAAUCCAUUCCCAAAAUAACAUCAAACUCUCCACGUUUUAUCAGAAUUAAAUCUACCAUCAUGACAUUUCCCUUAAUGUUCACCCUACAAUUCUUGUAUACGAACUUAACAAGAAUUACUUCCUUAUUCGCAAUUUCUAUGUUUAAAGGGAAAUUCAAUUAUUCAGUAGGCAAUCCUAACCUCUUAGCAAAUUCAUCAUAUAUAAACGAGCAAGUAGCACCAGAAUCAAAUAAUACAUAAACAUCAAUAUCAUUGAUUAGGAUAAUACCUGACACAACAUCCUUUGAUUGCACAGUCAUGUUGAAGGUUCUGGCUGUGGAUUUGUUUGAUGUCGUUGGUCCAGCAAUGGUCCAUGUACAUCCACUGUUACCUCCCUUGCUUCCUGUUGUCUCUCCAGCUUUCUUCGCAGGGCACUCACGAGCAAAAUGAUCCUUUGACCCGCACGUGAAAUAAACGUUCUUCUUAGGCUGAUUGCAAUUUGGGGAGAUGUGACCUUACUGGCUAUAGUUAAAGCAUACACGUUUCCCCAUUAAGCACACACCCUUGUGAAACUUCCCGCAUGUAGCACAUGCUUCGAACUUCCUAUUCUGCUGGUUACCCUGCUGACUUCUAGUACCCACAUUUCCAUUCCAUUUUCUCUUCAAGUUAUUGUUACCAUUUCCACUACCACUACCACCAUUCUUAACCUCCACUUCAUUCUUCUUCUUUUUCUGUUCUUGAUUAAACUUCAUUACUGCCUCGCCUCCAUCUUCAACGAGAAUGGCCUUCUCCAUUACUGCUGUAAAUGUCUUUAGUUGAAACAGGGAGACCCUACUGUACAACCAGGGUUUUAGUCCCUGCUCAAACCUCUUAGCCUUGCGUUCAUCUGUGCUGACUUGAUAUGGCGUAAACCUCGCCAACUUGUUAAAUUUUGCGGCAUACUCCGAUACCGUCAUUGAUCCCUGCUUCAGUUCUAAAAACUGCACCUCCAUCUAAUUCUUCGAACUCUCUGGGAAAUAAGUCUCGAAGAAUAUCUCCUUAAACCUAUCCCAGGUCAUCACCCCUUGUCCUCCUCGAGUUUUAUUGGCCUGCCACCAAUAACAAGCCUCUGCUUUUAACAUAAAUAUUGCAAAAGCAGUCUUCUGAUUCUCCCCUACUCUCGCAACAUCGAAUACUUUCUCUAUCUCCAUGAUCCAGGUCUGUGCCUCAAUUGGAUUCAUGGACCCACAGAAUUUUGGAGGUCCAACCGCCUUGAAGUCCUUAAAAGUUGUAGCUUGAUUCUGCGGUUGAUUCUGCAAUGCACCCGUCAGUAACGUCACUAGCUACUGAACUGGGUUGGCCUCAACAUUGUUAUUAUUGGUAGUUCCCUCGGUGGUUAUUUGUCGUGGUUGACGUCUUGGAGGCAUUUUCUAUUAAAAUAUACUCAUUAGAUUAUUACUCAACUCCUUUAAAUAUUUUCUACUUAACUUACACCCCAUAAAAGAAGUCAUCACAUAACACAUAACACUUUGAAUAAAAUAAAAUAAUAACUUUUAUUCAUUCAUAAUAUUUUUGAAAACAUAAGAACAAUAGCAUCAUUGCUAUUUAUAUUACUUUCCUGAACUACUAAAGUUCCAGGAUAACAGCAUUAUCAUAUCCCAUAGGUUACAUAACACUUGAGAUUUACAUAUUAUCUAACAUUGUAUUAAUCGCAUAUUAGGUACAUUCCCUACGAUGUCCUACUAAGAUACUGCGUAGCCUUACAACACUCUUCCUCCAUAAUCCAGAACAUUGUUCUACGAUCUAACAUGUACGAUGGCAGCGUCUCGAACUGAAUCGGAUAACCCAUGACCCGAUCUUGAGCUUGAUUAAUCACGGUGUUGAAUACAUUAUUCAUCUCUUUCAUCUUCAUCCUCUUUGCUUGUGCGUCCCUCUCUGCUAUCCUGGCUCGUUGAUAAACUUCCUCGUACGCGUCUUCGGCUCUUGCCCUCUUAGUAGAUUCUUCCUUCAGCUUGUUCUUCAGUUCUGCGAUCUCCUCGGUCAGUUGUUCAUUUUCUCCUUCAGUGUGGACCAGCUUCUCUUCGUCAUUAUUCAGACGUUCAUCUCGAUCAUGGAUCUCAUCGUCCUUCUGUGCCAUCGAGGUUUGUUGUUCAGCUACUAUCUCUUCCAACUCCUCGACAGUAUCCUAAAGUUCCACAUUGCGGUCUUAUACUUCAUCGUACAUACGAGCAGCGAUCGAGUUCAGUGGAAUCUCUUCCUCCUCAUCCUCGUCAUCCUCAUUCGACUGUGGCAGCUCAAAGGGAUCCUCCUCUUUCGUUUCCACAUCAUCAUCCUCAUUAGGUAAACCCUAAACCCUCCUGCUCAACCACUGUGACCAACUGAGCUGACUCCCGUGGCAGUAGUUGUUCCCAAAUCACCUGAAUGUCACGAUGUUCCUCCUCUCUAGACAUCUGAGGUCCUUCCUCCCAAGCCUGACUGGAUUCUCCUACAUUAGUCAUCCUGACAAUAAAAAUUUUUAAGUUUUAAUUAUUACUUGUUACUACUCGACACUCACGAGUACAUAGUUUAAAAUCACAUAAGCACAUAAGUGUUUUAUUACUUUUCCCUUAAAACUCGAUAAGAGUUUAUCACAACUAUAUUUUCAAAGGUUACUUCCUAAGGCUUUUCCCCACCUAAGGUUCAUAACCUAAAACUUUGAUACCAACUUGUGCACCCCCAAAUCCGGGUACUUCAUUCCCUCAAGAUUUGGUGUUCACUUAAUAAAAACAUUCAUAUCUAACUACCCAAUCAUAAUAAAAUUGAAUAAUAAACCUUCCCAUUAAAGGAUUACAUUAAUAAAAAUCUCCCAGGUUAUCUAACCUUCAAAUACAAACAUCAUAUGCGGUAAUAAUUAAAUAACUUCAUUACAAUAAUUAAAAUAAAGUCUGAUAAUAGAAAUUUCAACAUGUUUACAAGUCUUCAAUACUUGUUCAUCUUUCCCUUUCCUUUACUGGUGCUAGGUACAUCGACCUUCUCAACUUUAGCUGUAAUAAUUAUAUAAGCAUGAGUGAGCAAACAAGGCUCACUUAAAAUAAUAAUGAAUAAAAUUUUACAACAAUUGCCAAAUAAUAGGCUCAAUAGAACUGAACAAUAGGUUCUAUCAAUGAUAAUCAAAUUCUGAAUCAUAUAUCUGAGGGUCAUAAGACCACGAACUAUGUCCAUAGUUAUAAGUAAUCUUUCAACUUAAACUUUAACAGUCAUAAGACUAUAGGGACUCCUCGUACUUAGGGGGAUUAGCCCUUCGUACAAUGUAUUGUGCACAAACAUUUCAACGUUAUGCGUAAAUUAUCCCCUAAUAAUAAGGUUGUUCAUCUCAGCAUUUAGAAUAUAAGUCCGCACCAAAGUAAGUUUGGUUUGGAUACGUUUCAAGGUUUGGAAUUCAAUGAACAUCAACUAAGGAUUAGUUGAAUAAAAAAGUAAUAACAUUAUGUUAUGGAAUAAAUCAUAAGUAAAUCAACAUUUUAUACUAAGGUCAUGCUUUAGGAAAAAUCUAAGAGCAUAAAUAUUGAAUAACAUAACAUACCUUACUUGAACAAUAUUAAGCUAAGGUUAUUUAGAAUUGAGUACUGAGCAUGCAUAUCAAAUAGUAAUUUGAACGAUAAAGUUGUUCAACACUAGUAUAUCGGAAUGUAAAAACUUGCAUGCUAAAUAACAAGUUAAAGAUAAGAAAACUUGCAUAAUCAUAAACAAACUAGAUACAAUAAACUUGCUCAACAUAAGAAUAAGAUUUAGGAAACUUUCUCAAUGAAAUAAGUUAAAAAUAAGAAUAACUUUCUCAAUAUAAUUGAGAUAUGGUAAGUAAACUUGCUCGACAUUAAGAGAUAAGGUUUAGAAAACUUGCCUUGCGUGUAGGCUAAACCAUAAUAGUUUGAUUCACAAUAUCCUAAUCACAUAUCAUUAGGAUAUAAUUAGUCACUACAGAUACUUUGUAUACACAUAAGUACCUACUUCAUGUAUGUCUUGAUUUUCAAUCACAUAACCAAGUUACAUCAAUAAAAUAAUAAUAACACUCAUUAAGUAUUAAUAACAUGCUCGUUCUUAGCACUAUAAUAAUAUAAUAACAAAAUUAUAUUUUUAACAGUUAUAAUAUUGCAUUAUAUCAGAAUUUACAGAAUUCGUACAAAAGAAAAAUCAUUCCUGGCCCUACUGUUGACCGGCGCUGCGGCACUACAGUUUGUAUUGUGGGCGUUGCUGCGACACGGUAUUGGCGUUGCAGCACGAUGGCCCAGGCCAUGGGCCGGCGCUGUGGUGCAAAAGUUAGGGACGCGUCACUGACUUUAGCGCUGCGGCGUGAAGUUGGGGCUGCAACACUAAUUUUGGCGCUGAGGCGCCGAACUUACAGUACCGAGCACGAAGAAUAGAACAAAGCUAACUUCUGUCUAUUUAAUAGCUUCUAGCAGCUAAAUUAACACGUAUAACUUACAUAGAUUACAUAUAACAUUUACCCAUCAUACAUCUACCAAUUUAAAAUAACUAAACAAUAAUUUUAGAAAGAUUAAAUCCUUAAAUGCUAUGUUUUUAAACCAAAACUCCAUUUUUUGACAUUUGUUUGACAUAGUGAACACGGUAACCACAAUCAUACACCAACUUGAUUCUUUUGAACUACGUUCUCUUUAUUUCUUAGCCAAUUAACAUAUUAAAAGUUCAAUUUUACAAUUAGCUCGCAAUAAAUUACUAAUUUUGGUACUCCUCCAAACCAUGCUCAUACAUAUGUUUAUUGUAAAACCAAUCUCUUUCUUUUAAACGUAAUUCAUCAUACAAAUCAACUAAAAUCCUGUAUAUAUGCGAGUUAUAAUAUCACAAUCACAAUAUACACAUACCUUAUUACCCAUCAUCAAGAGACUUGGAUUACAGACAACACACACACACACACACACACACACACACACACACACACACACACACACACACACACACACACACACACAUAUAUAUAUAUAUAUAUAUAUAUAUAUAUAUAUAUAUAUAUAUAUAUACUAAUAACACACAUACUUAGGAAGUAUGGCGUAAAACAUAUAUAUCAUGUUAAGGUUAUGUAACAUCCUUUUGUUGCUUAAGAAAUUCUUGUUAAAAGACUUGAGAUUCACAACACCUUUCUCUCCUCUCAAUUCUCUCUUCUCUCUGGUCUCUCUCAAUUCUCUGUAAAUUUCUUCUCUUUCUUCUUAGGCUCAGUCUUAGACCAAAUACAAUUGACGUAAAAUAAAACAAAGCUAACGCACCGUUUUCAAACGUCUAAAAAUCGAUGUUAUAAUAAAUAUACUAAUAAAUUAUCAGUUACCAAAAUUAAUAUAUAUUAUUUAUAUUUUAUUUAUUUCAUUUAUAUUAUUUAAAAAUUCAAAAUUUAAAAAUCCAAAAGUCAUAAGGCUCUGUUUGGCAAAACUCUUUAAAAAUUAAAGACUUAAUAUCUUUAAGCCUUGUUUGACAAAACUAAAUUAAACUCCUUUAAUUUAUUUUAAUAACUCUUUUAUAGUAUAGUUUAUGGUCACACUUUAUUUAAUUAAGUUUUCAUACUUAAUUUAAUUAAUUAUAAUAACAAUUUAUUGAAUAAAUUUACCACAUAAAUCAAUACAACAAAAUUAUAAUUUUCUUUAUAAUUAUAAUUUUAUUUAAUAAAUUAACACAUCAUUUUAAUUACAACAUCAACUUAAAAUUAAAUAAAUAUUUAUUCAACAAUAAACACAUCCAUUAAAUAUUUAUAUAAUUCAAUAAAUAUUUAAAAUUACAAAUUAAAAUUCUGAAUUGUUACACCAUUAGUGAAGUUAAAAAACUCACACAAAAAUAUUCACUCACUAUUCGUUUUGGUUGCUUCCUAAAAAGAGGCAACGAAGUAACCCGAGCGAACUAACAAGGGGUAAAUUAAAAACACCCUUUUCCUAAAAGUGGUUGUGGAUGAUCAAGCAUUGGCUCUCACUUUUUCACUUUUUAGGGUGCCUUCAAUUUAUAUGUGCAUGAGUUUUGCCACAAUUUUAAGUUCUCAAAAAUAAACUUAUGAAAAGAUUUAUGAAUUUAGCACCUAAUAGAAAAUUACACCAAGUCCUAUCUCUAGUAGAUUUAUGAAUUUGGCACCUAAUAUAAACUUAUGAUUUUAGCACUUAAUAGAAACAUACGAAAAGAUUUAUUCUAAAAACACCAAGUCCUACCCCUAGUAGCUUCAGGUAGAAUCUUUUUCAUGUAAAAGAUGCUAAUUUUUUAAGGAAUACAAAAAAAAGUAUAUCAACUAACGCACGUGUUCUAAUAACCAGUAUAAACUGAACCUAACCUUGAGGGAGACAACAUCAUCAGCAUAUGUCUAGGGACUUAUCUCAUCACCCCCACCUUUGGUGGAAUCCAGUAAUAUUGUCUUUGCGUAAUGUUCUCGUUUAAUGCUGGCAUAUUAGUUUGCUCUGUUCUCAUUUUAGCUAACAUGCCACGAGCUCCUCAUUUUGUUUCAGACAAUCUUUCACCUGCAUGAAUUAAACAUUGGGCAGAUUAUAUAUUCAAGAAUGAAAAUAGAUACAAUCCACAGAACUAAAAAAAUUAAAAUUUAACGCCUCCGGGACAUAACAAAGUAAGAUAAUUUGACUUGGUUUGGCACGUUAAGGAGUACUAGGUCACAUGAGAUUGAAUUUUUUAUGUUACACCCAAGACAAUGCUGUUAAGGAAAACUCGGUCAUCACCCAUGACUUCUUUGACAUAUGGGUCCCCAUAGUUGCUGAAGAAAGGGUUAGCUAAUGUGUGGUAUCUACAGCUACUAUAUCAUCAUCUGCUCAAAAUAUCUUUGUUCACAAAAAAAAUAUACCCAGUAUAUACUUUUUACACCAGAAAAUAAACAUAAAUCUAAAAGUUAGCUUUUUCUUGAGAUGACUUUUAUUUCUUCUUUCUUCGAGACAAAGUAGCAUAAAACUAUUUUAUUUUUUUCCUCCAUUACAACUAAUUUUUUUUUUUGAGGAUUAUAAGUAAAACAAAUCAAUAUAGCAUACAGAGGAUUUGUAUAUAUCAUAAAAAGGGAUAAAUAAAGGAGAACUUAUUUAUUCUACCUAAUAAUUUUGUAACUUUUGUUUUAAUUCACAAGUCAGGAAGAUAAAAAGAUAAAAUCAUGAAGAACAAUUCAUCAAACUUUCUUCUGGGUUUAACCAUUUGACUAGUAAGUAGCAACUAUCAACAACUUUGUUGAGUACCUCACUGGCCCAAAAAUAAAAAUAAAAAAACUUUGUAAAGAAUCAUAGUACAUAUAUCACGUUAUCAAUAUACAAUAAGUAAUUUUUUCUUCAAAAAAAGUUAAUAAUGUUUUUUAAAAAGUAGUAAUGAAAAGGACCUUUAUUGUAUUUUGAUGAAAUUAAUCCUAAAAAACUCAUAUUUAGGAAUACUCUAUAUAAGAAUAACCUCUACAAUAUUAUAAAAAAAUUUGGUCCCAAUUUGGGUAAAUUAUAAAUAGGAAUAACCUAUAAAUUGUAAUAUGUUAUAUACUUUUUAAGUCCCGUAUUAAGAAACUAUACCUCUAUAUAGUAAUAAUUUUAUAUAUAUAUAUAUAUAUAUAUAUAUAUAUAUAUAUAUGAGAGAGAGAGACAAUAUUAAUUUUAAAAGACUAAAUUUUCUAUAAAAAACUAUAUUUCCUAUAAAAAAAAUUAUAUUUUCCUAUAAAAGACUAUAUUUCCUAUAAAGGACUACAUUUUCCUAUAAAAGACUAUAUUUCCUAUAAAAGAUCACAAUUUCCUAUAAAAGACUACUUUGCAGAAAUAUUUUUUGAAUAAUAAUUAUUAGGGAGUUCUUAUUGAUAUUUUUGUUAAAGUGGAUUUUUGGGUGUUCGGAAAAUAUUUUGUACCGAUACCUCUAUUUAAUAAUAACCUCUCAAUUAGAAUACAAAGAGUUUGGUCCAAAGUCUAUUCCUAAAUAGAGGUGUUAACGCCAAGUUUCGCUGGCGCGUCCAAUCACUAAGUCCACGCUCUGAAUCCUGCACAAUAACAGAUCACACGAAACUUGACGGCUUGUGCCGCCGGGGGAUAACUCCGGUGUGAGAAUAAGUACAGGCCGUUCACAAGGUUUAACAAUGGAGGCUUUAGUAUUAGUGCUCAAAGAAAGUAUUAAUUGAAACCCAAGCCUUGUAUUUAUAUCCAUUCUCACUUCUCUAGAAUCCCUCUCCAAGUCAGAUUAGGACUCCUAAAUAUGACAGUUACCUAUAUUUGGGUCCAACACAAUCUCCUUAAAAGGUGUAAGUGGAAUUCAAUUCAAACACUACCUUAUUCAAAUAUGGUUAGGACUAGAAUCCAUAACCAUUUAGACUCCUUAUUACUCCGGAGUCCAUACGUGGGCUACCACCUUGUACAGGCCCAAUCCAGUCGAGCUUAUAAUCUGGUCUGGGCUUCGGCCCAAAGGACUCUAAGGCCCGAUCCCGAACGCCAUACGCCAGAUUAGGGGUCCGACCCAAGGGGCUCGGAUACCCGAAGCCGAAUAUCACCCAUCUGGAUAGGGCUCCGGCACAACGGACUCGGAGGCUCAACCCCGAACACCUUCAGCAUCUCCGAGGGCUUCAACCCAUUGGACUUAUUAUCCCCUACUAGUUUCGGGCCUUCGGCCCACCUGGAGGUCGGUAAAACACUCCCGAACAUUGCCCCCCAGUCUCUUGUUAUAAUUUAUUUAUAAUUAGAGACUUGAAAGGUCCUAAAUUCGAACAGUCGCGACAACUAAUGAUGAAUUGUCUGGGGAACCCAAGCGAUUUCUCCUUGCUUUUCAAAACUCCAUAUGCUUCCCCAAAGCCGGGCCCUACCUGCCAUAAUACCCGCCUUUGGGUUUUGUGCAGCUAUACUUAUAAAACCCCCAACCCCACCAUCGCUGUCACUCUUUCCAGACUUCUUCAUUUCAAAAUCUCUUUUCAAACUUUCCAGCAAAGGCAAUUUUCGGUGAACAUCUCACUUUCACCAAACUUCUUUGAUUUCAAGCUCAUUUCCUCUUGUUAUCGCUUUUCAAAUCUUGCAUUUGAUCGUUUUACUAUUCGAAUGGCAGAUUCCAGCAUUCCUCCUCCCGAGACGAUUACCUUAACCGGUACCGCUACCCUCGCCUCCAGUGAUCUGAUUCCGAUUGAACUUUCGGUAGCACCUUCGGAUAUUUCCACUUACAACGCCGAAGCCAAACUCCGAAGCGUUUACUCCUCUGAGACCGGCUUCUCGCAUAUUAACACCCAAUCGACUGUCCUCCCUUCUCAAAUAUCAGACAUCCGUACUCUGUUCAACAUACCAAAGGAUUACAAGCUUUGGGUACCCAGACUGGAGGAGAGAAUGUUCUGGAGACCCGAAGGUGAAUGGGUUGCAGUUCCCCUAUAUGUUCUGAAGGAUGGGGUUCAGUUCCCCCUUCAUGAGUUUAUAUCCUCCUUUCUCUACUUUGUGGGGGUCGGGUUUGCACAACUUGUGCCGAACUCGUAUAUCCACCUAAUCUCCUUCAUCGCUUUUGUGCCAAGAGCUAGGUAUUACACCAGGCCUUGACUUUUUCUUUGCCUUAUUCACCGUCGGUAGGUCGAAGGAACCUAGCCUUCGGCAAUUAACUAAACUAUCCAACCGGGCCGUCCUUAUCAAAACUCCUUCGAGUAACAAAGGGUGGCAUCCAAAAUGGAUCUUUGUAAAGGGAAUUGACCUCAAACUCUUCCCCAAUUGGGCCCACCCCAAAGAUCCCAUCGUCAAAGUUUCCAAAUUCCCCAAAGACUGGGCUGGUGUGUUCAAGGAAUUUUACAAAAAGUUGAUCAAGACCGGAUGGAGUCUAAAAGCUUUGUCCAACGAAGCCUAGUUGUACAAACAUAGAUGUAAGUAUCUUAUCCCGAACCUCUCUAUAUAACCAUCCUUUCUCGUCGUACUUACAUAACCAUCUUUUUUACGUGAUUCCUUUUUCGCAGUGACAAUCUUCAAACCUGAAGGGGCGGCUGAAUCCUUAGCUCCUCUUCCCAUCACCGUCGAGCCGAUCCGUCUUCCUAUAACUGACGAGGCCCCCGAAGAGGAGACCAUCCCGAUUGCCGAACUCUCUAUUGGUUCUGCUUCGGGUCCAGCCCCUUAGUUAAUACCGCCAAGCUGGCUACCAAGAACGCUCUGAACUUGAACCGGGCUGAAAAGAUGGCCUUGCAGAAGAAAACGAAGAGGCCUUCCACCAAAGCCCCUUCCAAGGUCGCUUCUUCAGCCCAGCCAAAACCGACACCUCCUCCCCUUACCCCCGCUGUCGUUAUCGAGGAUUUGGAGGAUACUGAAGACCAUCUUCUCAAACCUCGAAUUAAGAAGCCUCGUCUGGUUGAAGGCCCUGAACAUGCCCUUGUGGUUGUCGACCCAAUACUUACCUUAACUCCCACCUCCAAAGCAAGUUCCUCAUAAAGGGACAUCGACUACCUGUUGACCGAAGAGUCCGUCUGAAGUAUUCCCCUUCAAUCUUUUCGAGCAUUUCAAACUUCCUAGUGACGACGAACGGUUCAAGGGGCACUCGUCCGAAGAAUACCUGAUAGCCUAUAUCAGGGCUCAGUGUCAGGUGAUUCUGAAAGCAUUAGGCUUCUUCUUUUACCUUUAUGUUAUGCUUUUCAUGGCUGAUGUGUUGUUUUGUUAUAGGCCAACGCAAUCCUUGCUCGAGCCAUUUCGCCUCUGGCUCGUACUACUAAGAAAGAGGCUCAAUUGAGGUCGGAUGUGGCACUUCUCGAAGCUGAAUUACGAGGUCGAGGCUCGAAUAUGAAGAAGGAAAAAGACCUUCACGCCGACACGUGGAAUAAGUUGAGCAAGGCUGAUCGUCGGGUCGCCGAACUCGAAGAACAAUAUUCUUUACUCCAGUAGGAGUUCGUCAGUCUCGAUGGUCAUGCCAAGAAGCUUGUUCAGGAAAAGGAGCUUCUUUUAGAGGAGAACAAGGAUCUGAAGGCGUCUCUUCAUAUAGUCGAGGACAAGUUCUCCAGAAUACAUGGUUAAUUGAGGUUGUUAUUCCACCGAUUAAAGAUACGAUUAACAGUAUCAUCAUAUAUAUUACCAGAAUACACAUACAACGGAAUAUCAUAUAUUCAAUUUUAUAUCGGUAAACAUGCAUCAUCAUAUAUCAUAUAUAUCGAAUACAAUUAAAACACGUAAUCUGAAUUAAUCUUUUCGCAAGUAGCUCUGAUACCACUGUUGGGCUUCGGCACAGAAACGCACAGCGGAAAUUAAAAUUUUAAAGCAAUUUCCGAAACCCUAAAACAGGAUCCAUGCGAAAAUCAAUUAAUUCAGAGGUUUAGAGAUUAUACCAGAUAUAAAAAAAAAAACGAGAAUCUGAAACCGACUGCGCCUCGAAUCUCCAACGCAAUACAAACCGAUUGCGCCUCUACGGUAUCCACACGAACGCCGCACGAACCGUCGAACGAUUCUGCAAUAAGAAGGACUUGCGGUACUAGCCACCAAAAGGAAUGGAUUUUCUGAAACUGUUUUCUCUCUAGUCUCUCUCUAAGAGCGGCUAGGGUUUUUCAAUUAUGAUAUCUUACCCUAAGUAGCUGCUAUAUAUCAUAUAUAUAGUAGUUAAAAGGAAUUAAUCAAAUCAAAACCUAAUUUUAUAAAAUCCGAAUUUAUAUAUAUAUAUAUAUAUAUAUAUAUAUCUCUUAAUUAAGUCUUACUUAAUUAAUAUACAUAUAUACAAAUUAUCCUUUUAAUUUAAAUUCGUGAUUUAAAUACUAUUAAUCAUAUUAAUAUAUUUAAAUCCUUAAAAUUUAAAUUAAUUCCCUUUUAAAUAACGUUCUAUGUGUGUGACCCUAUAGGUUAUUAUUACGUUGGCAAUAAUUUUAAAAUCAUAUUAUAAAAUUAUAAACAGUGAGCGGCAUCUAGUAAUGCAUCACUGCUACCCAAGUAAUAAUAAGAUCGAUGAUUCGAUGCAACCUUUUCGUGACCAAUGUUUCAAUGUAAUUUAAUCCUUUUAACCUUAAUAUCCUAGAUUAAACUCGAGUCAUGGAAUGUGUCAUACUCUUCAUAAUUUAAUCUGAGUUUUCUUGAUCAAUGAGUAGACUAUAUGAAACAAAUCACUAUUUGAGCAUGGCCAUGCAUUUCAUAGUCCUACUCAAUCAAGAGGCCUAUGGAUAUCACCCAUAAUAUAUAGGAUGGUUAAAUUCCAUCUAGAUCACUCAUAUUUCUCACACGAUUAAUGAUGAACCCAAUAAUCACCUUUAUAGUCCACCCUAUUAAAGGUGACAUUUGAUGAUAUCAAAGUACAUAAAUUCUCGUGUAGUAAUAUAGCGAUUUCAGGUCGGAGGACCAUUACAUCAUUGUCACUAUGAGAAUUGCUAAUGACACUUCGCAUAAUGCUCCAUAUAGAAUUCUCAUGGUGGGUCUGUCCAGUACAUCGUUCUCUAACAUGUACCUAUGCAUUGACUUAAUAUCUCAUAUAUUUAUGACCAAUGAGAUUUGGUCAUCAGUCAAUCCACAUACUAGUCUCAAUGCAUCAUUGUUGUCCCAUCAACAAUGAUACUCGACUAGGGACAUUUAAGAACACUGAUACUAAUGGUAAUAUAUAAUCUCAUGUUCAAGUCACAUACUUGAAACUAUAUAAUUUGUAUCACUAUUCUAAGGAAUUUUAUUAUGUUAACAAUUAUAUUACGCAGUAAAUAAAAUCAUAAUAAAAUCAUAUAUUUAUUCAAUCAAAUAUAAUAUCAAAACGUUAAGCAAUUAUAUCAAAUAAUUGGCCUCUAGGGCAUAAACUCUAACAGAACGAGCAUGUUAUUAAUAUCCGACGAGUGUUAUUUUUAUUUUAUUGAUGUAACUUGGUUCUGUUAUUGAAAAUCAAGUCAUACAUGAAGUAGGUACUUAUGUGUAUACAAAGUAUCUGUAGUGACUAAUUGUAUCCUAAUGAUAUGUGAUUAAGAUAUUGUGAAUCAAACUAUUACGGUUUAGCCUACACGCAAGGCAAGUUUUCUAAACCUUAUCUCUUAAUGUCGAGCAAGUUUACUUACCCUAUCUCGAUUAUAUUGAGCAAGUUAUUCUUGUUUUUAACUUGUUCCGUUGAGCAAGUUUCCUAAAUCUUAUUCUUCUGUUGAGCAAGUUUAUUGUAUCUAGUUUGUUUAUAAUUAUGCAAUUUUUCUUAUCUUUAACUUGUUAUUUAGCAUGCAAGUUUCUACAUUCUGAUAUACUAGUGUUUAACAACUUUAUCAUUCAAAUUAUUAUUUGAUAUGCAUGCUCAGUACUUAAUUCUAAAUAACCUUAGCUUUAUAUUGUUCAAGCAAGGUAUGUUAUGUUACUCAAUGUUUAUGCUUUUAGAUUUUUCCUAAAGCAUGACCUUAGUAUAAAAUGUUGAUUCACUUAUGAUUUAUUCCAUAACAUAAUGUUAUUACCUUUUUAUUCAACUAAUCCUUAGUUUAUGUUCGUUGAAUUCCAAAUUACCUUGAAACGUAUCCAAACCAAACAUACUUUGGUGCAGACUUUUAUUUUAAAUGCUGAGAUGAAUAACCCUAUUAUUAGGGGAUAAUGUACGCAUAGCAUUGAAAUAUUUGUGCACAAUACACUGUACGAAGGGUUGAUUCCCCUAAGUACGAGAAGUCCUUAUAGUCUUAUGACUGUUAAAGUUUAAGUUGAAAGAUUACUUAUAACUAUGGACAUAGUUCGUGGUUUUAUGACCCUCAGAUAUAUGAUUCAGAUUUUGAUUAUCAUUGAUCGAACCCAUUGUUGAGUUCUAUUGAGCCUAUUAUUUGGCAAUUGUUGUAAAGUUUUAUUCAUUAUUAUUUCAAGUGAGCCUUGUUUGCUCACUCUUGCUUAUAUAAUUAUUACAGCUAAAGUUGAGAAGGUCGAUGUGCCUAGCACCAGUAAAGGAAAAGGAAAGAUGAACAAUUAUUGAAGACUUGUAAACAUGUUGAAAUUUCUGUUGUCAAACUUUAUUUUAAUUAUUGUAAUGAAGUUAUUUAAUUAUUUUGGCAUAUGAUGUUUGUAUUUGAAGGUUAGAUAACCUGGGAGAUUUUUAUUAAUGUAAUCCUUUAAUGGGAAGGUUUAUUAUUCAAUUUUAUUAUGAUUGGGUAGUUAGAUAUGAAUGUUUUUAUUAAGUGAACACCAAAUCUUGAGGGAAUGAAGUACCCGGAUUUGGGGGUGUCACAGAUGGAGUUGGGUGUACUUUUAUAUUCUUCUAUUUUUUUAUGGUUGACACUAUCAGCUAAUUUUUGGAGUCUUACAUUCCAGUUUGCCUUUCACUUCAUUUAUCUUGUCGAUUCUAUUUAUGAAUGUAUGUGUUCAUUAUAUAUAUGAAUGUAUGUUAGAUUUAUGUGAGACUAAUUGUCUAAGUAGUUGAGCUAUU